CUCCCUCUCUAAGAGGCAACUUUCAGGCGAAUGGGGUUUUCCAUAAGAAAGCUAGCCAAUUAUAAGUCUUUCACUCAUGCUGCUAAGCCUACUUCCUAUCAGCAAUUUCAUAGGAGCGAGGUUGGUCCAACCUAUGUACAGCCUACUCGAAACGGCUAUGCGAGGGGUUUUACCGAUCAGAAUUUGGCAGACUAUUCCUCAAUGCAAAAGAUGUCUUCUUCUUCUUCUUCUUCUUCUUCUAAUCCUGCUUGGGGUGGUGACGAGAAUGUUGAUGAGAAGGCAACAAGCUACAUUUCCCAUGUCCGAGAACGUUUGCGUGGAGAGUGUUGAUUCUCUAAAUUAGCAAGUACCAGGAAAUGCUUAAGGGAGAGUAGUGCCAUUUCUAUGACUACGACCCUUUCUUUCAUCAAGAAUUUAUAUUUUCUGUACACUUUUUUGCAAUUAAACAAUUAAUAUACACUGAAGUUUGUCUUAGUUACCAAUGCAAAUGCUCUGUUCUGAUUUUCUGCAUCUUCUCCUGCCUUUACACAAUAAGCCUUGUUUAUGCUCUGUAUGAUAAUAAAAACUCAAAUAAGAAGUAAAACUUAAUCUCAUAAUCCAAUCGUUUUAAUAAAAAAUUUUCAGUUAAUUUGAUUAAAAUUGAAAAUUGUUCACCCCGAUAGGUUGCUACCACUUUAUUUCUUUUCAACCAAGGUCGAGCAAAAUUAAGGUUCAUAGACAAAACAUGAUUUGCCAAUUACAAGUGCAGGCUAAAGUGGGAUUUACUUUUAAUUGCAGUCCUUGGAAAAAAACCCCACAUAAGCCUAUAAUUGAUAUGUUUAUUAAGGGUGAGCGUGAAUUGUCUGUGAGCCCAGCUCGGUAACAUGGACUUGUGACCAGGAGGGGCAUUAACGUGCUCGAACGUCUAAGAGGGUUGGAGUUAACCUUUGGCGCCCCUAACCUUGCGAAAAGGGGACCCUAUCUUUUGAAUUCUGCUUUAUUCCUUAAUUUGCUUUUUGCUCUGUUCACAAUAGUGUUAGUUCGAUUAAAAAGAUUACAUCCUAAUUCUUUAUUCCUUAGUUUGCUCUGUUCACAAUAAUAUUGAAUACCUUGGGAAAAGGGACCCCUAUCUUUUGAAUUCUUCUUUAUUCCUUAAUUUGCUCUUUGCUCUGUUCACAAUAGUAUUGAAUAGUUCGAUUAAUAAGAUUACAUCCUAAUUCUUUAUUCCUUAAUUUGCUCUGUUCACAAUGGUAUUGAAUACCUUACGAAAAGGGACCCCUAUCUUUUGAAUUCUUCUUUAUUCCUUAAUUCGCUCUUUGCUCUGUUCACAAUAGUAUUGAAUAGUUCGAUUAACAUCCUAAUCUAAUUUUUAUUAGGCUAUCUUUUCUUUCUAUCUUUUGAAUUCUUCUCUUCUUUGUCCAUUUACUCAUUCUCGGUAUAUAAGAAGCUUUCUUCUUUUCUCAUAAAUAUCGGAUUUCUUAAGAAACGAAUAUAAUUAAGAGUUUGUGCACCCAUAAAUGCUAUUGAAGCUUAAAUGUCUUUAAAAUUUUUGCAACUCUUCCCUGCCUUUGUCCUACAUUUUCCUGGUCAAUAAGUUCUUGCAACAGUAGAAAGGUCUUCUGCCAACAACUAAAACAAGAAAAGUGAGUAUUCCUUGAGUAUAAUGGCAAGUUUCCAUGUCUAUAUUGUUUUUGGUGUUUUGGUAAUUAUGACAAGUGGAGCGGUCAUGGCUCGGGAUGUUAAUCCGAUUAAAGCAAACAAUUUUGAAACCAAGAUGACAAUGCAUUGUGUUAUUGAAGUUUUCACCAGUAUAGUCAAGACCGAAAUUGUUUUUAAUAAUUGUUGUUAUGAACUUGUCGGACUUGGUCAACUUUGUCAUAAUACAUUGGUGAAAAAAACUCUUUAAAAUCCUCUAUUUAAAAAAAAUAAUACAUCAAUGAUUUUAUCAAGAACUGCUCAAGUAUGGAAUAAAUGUAACCUACUUGGUGUGAAUGCAUUGCCCACCCCUUCUCCUUAUGAAGGUUAAUAAUUUAUUUUUAUUAAUAAAAAUUUUGAAGAAGUAAUACUUUUGGUGUCGUUCUUUUUUGGAUAAAUACAAAUAAUUUCAUUAUAAUCUUCAGUUUGUUAGUCUAUACCAUGAUAAUGAAAAGUAAAAUUUCAUGUGAAUAUAGUUUUGCGUAAAUGAUGAUGUUCAUAAAUAUAAAAGGUAUUUCAUAAAAUAUACAUACAAAUCUUAGAACUUUUAUUCAAAUCUUUAUAUAAAAUAAUAUUUAUAGACACUCCGUUUCAUCUUGGGCAAUUUUUUGUAAAAUUUGAAGUUAAAUUAAAUUAAGACCAUUUUUAUAAGUAACAAAUAUUCUAACAAUACCAAAAAAAAUGAAGUUUUCUAAUAGAGUUUUCCUAAGGAAAAUGUCAAAUAUCUACACAUAUCUUGGCCCUUUUAUUCAAAUCUUAAUAUAAAAUAAAUUUUAUGGACACCGCAUUUUAUCUGGAAUUAUUUUUUGUAAAUUUCGAAACUAAAUUAUAUUGAGAUCAUUUUUUUAUAAUUAACCCAAUUUUAACAUUACAAAAGGAAUUAACAUUUUCUGACAAAAUUCCAAUGAAAAAUUUUGUCAUUAAAAAUAUAGAAUGUAAUGUCAAUGGUUAAAAAAUUAAAAAAUAUAGAAUGUAAUGUCAAUGUAAUCUAUUCUCCCACCUUUGCUCACAAUUCAAAUCCACAAUUCAUAACAAAAAGUAAGUAUUGAAAUAUGAAACUGAAAUUCAACAUAAAAUUCAAAUUGAAAUACAUAAUGCUGAUUCGAGUUUGCUACCAUGGACAAUCCAACUAUAAACUUGAUGUGGUAUUACAAUUACAUGUGUGGAUGUUUAUCAAGUUAUCCUUUCUUUGUUAUUUAAUUUGCUCGGUCUCCAUAAAUAACUGUCUUCCUUCUUUUUUCCUUCUUCAUUUAAUGUGUUCUUUGAAUUCCUAAAAAACAACCCACUAGUAUAUGAUCAGGUGGAAUACUUAUAAAUGCUAUUGAAGCUGAAAUGUCUUUAAGAUAUUUAUAACUUAUUCUCUCCCUUUACCCUAUAAAUGAACAUUUUCCUGGCAAAUCAAUUCUUGCAAUAGUACAAAAUUCUUCUGCCAACAACCAAAACUAGAAAAGCGAGUAUUCCUUGAGCAUAAUGGCAAGCUUCAAUGUUUAUAUUGUUUUUGGUGUUUUGGUAAUUAUGACAAGUGGAGCGGUCAUAGCUCAUGAUGUUGAUCCAAUCAAAACAAACAAUUGUGAAACUAAGAUGACAAUGUAUUGUGUUAUUGAGGUUUUCACCAGUAUAUUUAAGACCGAAACCAUUUCUGAUAAUUGUUGUCAUGAACUUGUAGGACUCGGUCAACUUUGUCAUAAUGCAUUAGUGAAAAAAACUCUUCAAAAUCUUUUAUUUAAAAAUAACGAUACAUCAGUGAUCUUUUCAAGAACUGUUCAAGUAUGGAAUAAGUAUAUCCUAGUUGGGGAGAAUGUUUCACCCACUCCUUCUCCUUUAGAAGGUUACUAAUUUAUUUUUAUUAAUAAAAAUUCUAAAGCAAUAAUACUUUCGGUGUUAAUUUGUUUUGGAUAAAUGCAAAUCAAUUUCAUUAUAGUAUAAUUUUCAGUUUCUAAGUUUAUAUCAUGAUAAUGAAAAGUAAAAUUUCCUGUGAAUAUAGUUUUGGGUAAACGAUGAUGUUUAUAAAUACAAAAGAUAUUUCAUAAAUUUACAUACAUAUCUUAGAACUUUUAUUCGAAUCUUGAUAUAAAAUAACAUUUAUAUCAACCCAUAUUAUCCCAGGCAUAUUUUUGUACAAUUUGAAGUUAAAUUAAAUUAAAACCAUUUUUUAUAAGUAACAAAUAUUUUAACACUACAAAAAAAUGAAGUUUUCCAAUAGAAUUUUUCUCAGAAAAAAGUCAAAUUUCUGUACAUAUCUUAGUCCUUUUAUUCAAAUCUUAAUAAAAAAUAAUUUUUAUAAACAUAGCAUUUUGUCCGGGAUCAUUAUUGCAAAUUUUGAAAGUAAAUUAUAUUAAGAUCAUUUUUAUAUAAUUAAUCCAAUUUUAACAUUACAAAAGAAAUUAACUCUUUUUGAUAAAAUUCCAAUGAAAAAUUCCAUCACCAUAGUUGUUAAAUCAAGAUACGUAUCGUGUAUUGAAAUCCUAUUUUUUAGUAUCGAGUAUCGUGUCGUAUCAUAAGAUACGAAAAAAAAAUUUUAAUUAAUUAUGAAUAACAUUUAUAUAUGUAAAAUAAAGAUAAAAAUUGAAAAUAAUUAUAUUUUUUAACAAAAAUAAAGAUUAUAGGGCGUAAAUUGAAAAGAUAAAUAUUUUUAAUUGAAACUUGCAACAUAUUCUUUAAUAAUAUAGAUUUUUAAAUAAAAUAUACAUUUUAUUAUCUUAAUUUAUUAAUUAAAAAUUAAAAGGGAAUUCAAUUUUUGUAGUAAUUUUUUGUUUAAAAUCUAAAAAUUGAAACUCAUAAAAUAUAAUUUUUCAUAUUUCAACUAAAAAGAAAUAAAAAAUUAAAAUUUUUAAUAAUUAAUUAAAUAUAAGCUUAUAAAAAGUGUAUCGAUUGUAUCAUAUGAUACGCCCCUGUAUCGUAAGAUACAUAUUGCAUAUCGUACGAUACGUUUUGAUACUUGAUCAAAUACGAUAUAGCUAUAGGUACGUAUUGUUUUCUGCAAGUGUCAUAUCGUAUUGUAUAAUACGUAUCGUGUAUCAUACGAUAAUAAUAACUAUGUUCGUCACUAAAAAUCUAGAAUGUAAUGUCAAUGGUCAAAAAAUUAAAAAAUUUCAUCGACAAAUUUUUGUAAUUUUCAAUGCAAAAUUAGGUCGAGAAAGGUGAAAAAAUGGUUAGACAAGUAGGCUAAUUUGUCGGUAAUUAUAGUAUCAAAUCCGUCAAAAACUACGAAAUUUAUUUAUGGAAUUCCAUUCGUGAUGAGAUAAUUACGGAAUUCAAUUAAUUUUUUCCAUCGAUAAAAUUAACAAAAAUCAUCAUAAAUAAUUGAUUUUCCCACCUCUACUCACAAUUCAAAUCCACAAUUUGUAACAAAAGUAUUGAAAUAUGAAAUUGAAAUUCAACUUGAAAUUCAAAUUGAAAUAUAUAAUGUCGAUUUGAGUCUGUUGCCAUGAACAAUUCAACUGUAGACUCGGUGAAGUAUUACAGUUACCUGUGUAGAUUUGAUCCAUGAUCUAAUUUUUAGUAGGUUAUCCUUUCUUUGUCCAUUUAAUUUGCUUAUUCUCCAUAAAUAAUAGUCUUCCUUCUUUUUUCCUUCUUCAAUUAAUGUGUUAUUUGAAUUCCUAAAAAAUGACUGUAAUUAAAAGUUUAUGCUCAUUAGCACAUGAUCAGGUGGAAUACCUAUAAAUGCUAUUGAAGUUGAAAUGUCUUUAAGAUAUUUAUAACUUUUUCCUCCCUUUACCCUAUAAAUGAAUAUUUUGUUGGAAAAUUAGUUCUUGCAGUAGUACGAAAGUAUUAUGCCAGCUACUAAAACAAGAGAACUUAGUAUUCCUUCAGCAUAAUGGCAAGUUUCAAUGUUUAUAUUGUUGUCGGUGUUUUGGUGAUUAUGACAGGUGGAAAGGUCAUGGCUCAUGAUGUUGAUCUGAUCAAAGCAAAUAAUUGUGAAACUAAGAUGACAAUGGAUUGUGUUAUCGAGGUUUUCACCAGUAUAUUCAAGAUUGUAACUGUUUCUGAUAAUUGUUGUCAUGAACUUAUAGGACUCGGUCAACUUUGUCAUAAUGCAUUGGUGAAGAAAACUCUAGAAAAUCCUCUAUUUAAAAAUAACGAUACAUUAGUGAUCUUAUCAAAAACUAUUCAAGUAUGGAAUAAGUGUACUCUAGUUGGCGAAGAUGUUUCUCCCACUCCUUCUCCUUGAGAAGGUAAAUAAUUCAUGUUAAUAAAUAAAAAUUCUAAAGAUAUGAUACUUUUGGUAUUUUUCGUUUUUGGAUAUAUGCAAAUCAAUUUCAUUUUAAUCUUCAAUUUGUUAGUUUAUAUCGUGAUAUAAAAUUUAGUGUGAAUAUAGUUUUGGGUAAAUGAUGAUGGUCGUGAAUACAAAAGGUAUUUCAUAAAUAUACAUACAUAUGUUAGAACUUUUAUUCAAAUCUUGAUAUAAAAUAAUAUUUACAGACACUUCAUUUUAUCCCAGGUUUUUUUUUUUUGUAAAAUUUAAAGUUAAAUUAAAGUAAGACUAUUUUUUAUAACAAAUAUUUUAACACUAGAAAAACAAUGAUGUUUUACACUAGAAUAUUCCUUAGGAAAAAGUCAAUUUUUUGUACAUAUCUUAGCCCUUUUAUUCAAAUCAUAAUUAUAACAUAAUUUUUAUAGACACCGCAUUUUGUCCAAUAUCAUUUUUGCAAAUUUUAAAAUUAAAUUAGAUUAAGAUCAUUUUUUUAUAAUUAACCCAAUUUUAACAUUACAAAAGAAAUUAACAUUUUCCAACAAAAUUCUAAUGAAAAGUUUUGUCGCUAAAAAUAUAGAAUGUAAUGCUAAUGGUUGAAAAAUUAAAAAAUUUCAUCGCUAAAUCUUUGAAAUUUCCAAUGCAAUAUUAGGUCAAGAAUGGUGAAAAAAUGGUUAGACAAGUAGGUUUAUUCGCCGGUAAUUAUAGUAUCAAAUCAGACGAAACUACUAAAUUUACUUAUGAAAUUCCAUUGGUGAUGAGAUAAUUACGGAAUUCAAUUAAUUUUUCUGUCGAUAAAAUUAACAAAAAUUGUCAUGAACAAUCUAUUUUCCCACCUUUGCUCAUAAUUCAAAUCCACAAUUCAUAACAAAAGUAAGUAUUGAAAUAUGAAACUUAAAUUCAACUUCAAAUUCAAAUUGAAAUGCCAAAAUUACAACAUUACAGUUACAUGAGUAGAUUAGAUACAUGAUUAAUUUUUAUCAAGCUAUCCUUUCUUUGUCUAUUCAAUUAUUUGCUCAUUCUUCAUAAAUAUGAAUUUUCAUUCAUUUUUCCUUCAUUUAAUGUAUUCAUUGAAUUCCUAAAAGACAACUACAAUUAAAAGCUUAUGCCCAUUAGUACAUGAUCCAGUGAAAAGUAUUUUAAGGUAUUUAUAACUUAUUUUGUUUCUUUACCCUACAAAUCAACAUUUUCUAGACAAAUCAGUUCUUGCAGCAAUUCAAAAGUAUUUUGCCAACGACUAAAACAAGAGAAGUUAGUAUUCCUUGAGCAUAGUGGAAAAUUUCAAUGAUUAUAUUGUUGUACGUGUUUUGGUGAUUAUUACAAGUGGAAAGGUCAUGGCUCGUGAUGUUGAUCCAAUCAAAGCAAACAAUUGUGAAACUAAAAUGACAAUGCAUUGUGUUAUCGAGGUUUUCACUAGUAUAUUCAAGACUAGAACCAUUUCUGAUAAUUGUCGUUAUGAACUUUUAAGACUCAGUCAACUUUGUCAUAAUGCAUUGGUGAAGAAAACUCUUCAAAAUCCACUAUUUUAAAAUAAUGAUACAUCAAUGAUCUUAUCAAGGACUACUGAAGCAUGGAAUAAGUGUACUUUAGUUGGCGAGGAUGUUUCUCCCACUCAUUCUCCUUGAAAAGUUUAAUAAUUUAUUUUAUUAAUAAAAAUUCUAAAGGAACAACACUUUCAAUGUUGUUCUUUUUUAUAUAAAUGCAAAUCAAUUUUAUUAUAAUCUUUCAUUUGUUGGUUUAUACCAUGAUAACGAAAAGUAAAAUUAUUGUGUGAAUAUAGUUUUAGGUAAAUGAUGUUUGUAAAUGCAAAAAGUAUUUCAUAAAUAUAUAUACAUUUUUCAACACAAUUAUUCAAAUCUUGAUAUAAAAUAAUAUUUAUAGACACUCUAUUUUAUGUAGGGUAUUUUUGAAAUUAAAUUAGAUUAAGACCAAUUUUCAUAAGGAACCCAAUAUUUUAACAAUACAAAAAAUUGACCUUUUCCAAUAAAAUUUUUAUCAAGAAAAAGUCAAAUUUUGAUACAUAUCUUAGCACUUGUAUUCAAAUCUUGAAAUAAAAUAAUAUUUACAAACAACACAUUUGUCCAGCAUUGUUUGUGUAAAUUUUGAAAUUAAAUUGUAUUAAGAUCAUUUUUUAUAAUUAACCCAAUUUAACAUUACGAAAGAAAGUAACUUUUUUCGACGAAAUUCCAAAGAAAAUUUUCAUCUUUAAAAAUAUAGUAGAUAAUGUCAAUGGUCAAAAAAUUCAAAAAUUUCAUCAAUAAAUAUUUGAAAUUUCCAAAGAAAAAUUCCAUCAAGAAAGGUAAAAAAAUUGGUUAGACAAAUAGGCUAGUUCAUUGGUAAUUAUAUUAUCAAAUACAUCUAAAACUAUUAAAUUUAUCUAUGGAAUUCUGUUGAUGCUGAGAUAAUAACCUACAAAAUUUAAUCAAUUUUUCAAUUGAUAAAAUUAAUAAAAAUCAUCGUAAAUAAUCUAUUUUCCCACCUUGACUCACAAUUCAAAUCCACAAUUUAUAGCAAAAAUGCGUAUGAAAUAUGAAGUUGAAACUCAACUUGAAAUUCAAAUUGAAAUACAUAAAUGUUGAUUCGAAUAUGCUACCAUGGACGAUCCAACUGCAGACUCGAUGUGACAUUAUCGUUACGUCUCAUCCUGGAUUUUAAGCUCUAAAGGACACUGAAAAUUACAUUGGCAUGAGAAUGCCCUCUUUAGCAGUAAUACCAAAAAAACACCCCAAUCAAAACUGUCGACAACAAACCCCAUUAGGCACCAUUAUUGCCCUAUAAAAUAAAACCUGUAUGAAACACCUCUAAAACACCCCAAAAACUUGAAAACCACCGUAUGAAGCACUAUAAGCACAAAGUAAUAACUCAAUGCAGCCACGAAGCACAAUAGAAAGAAGUUGGCAGGCCAUCAACCAAAACUAGCAACAAUAUAAAGGCUCACCAUGGAAUAUCAUCUUUAUAAAUAUGUAGAGAGUUCUUUUGGUUAAGGAGAAAGGAUGUGUUGCAAUGAAUGAAUUGGGAUGUGCUAGAGGCAGCAGAGAGGAAGACUGAAGCAAUCCUUGAAGCGUAAGUCUUUGGGUAAUAGGUGGUGAGGAUGAGAAAAAAGUGGACGAAGCAAGGGAUGACGGCGAAUGAGAAAGGCUGAAUGGAAAGAAUGCUUAUAGGAGUCUUGAGAGAGCUUUUUAAUAUAAUCUCUACUGGGUUUUCAAUAAUUUCUCCUCUUCCUUCCUUCCCUACCUCCAAGGCUUUCAUAUUUAUACUAAUCAUUAGCACCUUCUUAGGAGUGGUUGGGAGAACACAUUCAAUCAUAGAAGAACAUGAUUGUCAUGGAAGUAUAGUUAAAGACCGAUUUACAAAAUAUUAAAAGAAUGAUCAUGUAGUUGGGUAAUAGGCAUAAGUUUUAGGUAAAUGGAGUAGUGACAUUUGAUAGUGCAUCACUUGUAUUUUUAAGGAGUAAAGAAAGAAAAAAGGGUAACGCACAUGUACUUUAAGGAAAGGUUAAGAGGAAGUCCUCUUAACUAUCUUCAUAUCUAAGCCACCAAGUCGAACUCUCUAGAACAUCCCAAAUGUGAAGGUAAUGCAUGAACCCUACCACUUGUUCAGAGUUACUUUCACUUUCUUGUACAAAUAGUUGUUCCAUGCUUGUUCUUGGGUGUUUCUAUGCUUGCAACACUCCUUUGGUGCUUCUAUGCUUGGAACAUCCCUAGGAACUUCUGCGCUUGGAAUGCCCCUAGGCUCUUCUGUGGUUGGAACACCCUUGGGCACUUCCACGCUCGGAACAGCUCUGGGCAUUUUUGUGCUUAGAACACUUCUGGGGGGUUCUGCGCUUGGAACACCCCUUAGUGUUUCUGUACUCGGAACACCCUUGAGCGUUUCUGUGCUUGGAAUGCCCCUAGGCGUUUCUACGCUUAGAACGCCCUUGAACGCUUUCAUGCUUAGAACAUCCCUAGGCGCUUCUGUACUUGGAACACUUAUAGGUGCUUCUGCGCUUAGAAGCUUCCAACUUGGAACACCCCAGGCACUUCUGCACUCGGAAUACCCAUGGGCUUUUCUAUGCUUAGAACACCCCAAGCGUUUCUGAGCUCGAAAUGCCUCUGGGCUCUUUUAUGCUUGGAACAUCCCUGAUAUAAUUUCCUUGUAAACAGUACUUUAAAAAUAAUAGUUAACCAGAAUUGGGCAACUACAUUUAGUCCCCUGCAUAAAAAUUCUUAUAAGAAGUUUUAUGCAUAAAGAAAUGCACAUAGUAAUAAGAAAGACAAUGCCUAUAUAUAUAUAUAUAUAUAUUCUCUCUCUCUUUUUUUUGAGUUGUAAUUAUUGACUAUAGUAUCGUUAUUAUUAUUAUUAUUUAUUUAUUAUAUAUAUUUUACAAUCAAAGAAAGACUUUAAGGGAGUAGAAGAGUAUUACUCUCAAACCAUCCUAGCAAAUCCCAAAGUUGAUGAAGCUUGAUUUCUUUGGCUAUUCUAGCCAUGUUCAUAUGCUAGUUCCUUGUAGAAGGAUGUGCUACUCCUAGUGUUAUCAAUUUCAUGCCCCCAUAAUUUCAUGAAGCAAAUUGUACAUAUAUUGGAUAAAUGCAAGUGCUUUUUUUGUUUUUUGCUUUUACACUUGAUGAGGAAUAAAGGAACUUUAUUUCCUAUGAUGCAUUGUUGUCUUAAUUUCUAAUAUAUAUUAAUAGCUUAUAGAUUAAUGCAAUUAUUUGCCAAGCACAUUGAAUAUAUAUAUAUAUAUAUAUAUAUAUAUAUAUAUAUAUAUAUAUAUAUAUAUAUAUNNNNNNNNNNNNNAUAUAUAUAUAUAUAUAUAUAUAUAUAUAUAUAUAUAUAUAUAUAUAUAUAUAUAUUACAAUUUGUAUGUCAUGUCUAUCUGCCUCCACCAAUUUUCUUCAAACUUUCCUUUUGCUUUUCAAAUGUAUUUGAGACUAGCUAAUUAAAUCUUUUUUAGACUUAAUUAUGAAAUAAAUAGAGAUAUAUGAGGAAAAGCAAUUAGAGGUAGAAAAGGAUUUGAUAAAAAAAUUUUAAAAAUUAGAUUCCUACUAAGAAAAUAAUUUCUGAAAUUUAUAAAUAUGAGAGAAUAGUUUUGUAGAAACUCAUAAUCAAUUCUAAAAUGCUCUUCCUAAUUCUCAAAGAUUCUUCCUUAGAAUUUUGAACAAGUAACUUUUCUUUUCUUUUUUUUUUUUAUGCAUAUGUUUAGCGGUGAUUGUAUGCUUAGAAUAGCUCUAGACGUUUCCUUACUUGGAACGUCUGAACCACUUAGAAUAGUUUGCCCUUUGCAGGAAAAUUUUAUUAUUAAAAUUUCAUGCAUAGCAGAAAUAUUUAAAUGAAUGACAAACUUUGAGAUUUAAGGAUUUUAUAAAUUUCUCUAGAGAGAUUGGUUGUGCAAAAACUCAUAAUGAACUUCUAAGACUUUUUCCCUAAUUCUUUUAGCAUAUAUAUAUGGAUUAUAGACUAUAAAGAUACUUAUAUAUAAAGAAAAAUUCCAUAGAAAAUGAACACCUUCAAUGUUAGGAAAGACUUGGAAGUUAGAAUGAUACUAACUUGUUAUUUUAUUUUAUUUUAUCAUAGAAGGAGUAUUUAUUUAUUUAUUUAUUAUUGCUUGUUGUCUUUGAGGAUUUUUUUUGUUUAGUGAUUUAUGUACAUAUAUCUUUAUUCGUUUUGUUUAGCAUAAAGGAAUAAUCAAACAAAUAUGAUGCACAAAUAAGAACAAAUAAAUAAACAUUAGAUAUUAAUGCAUUAGUAGGAAUAGUAAUGCUUGAGUACUUAUCUGGUUGUCUUUGUAUCAUUUAUGCUUGUAGGAUUUUUGUUGCCUCUUCUUAUGGCCAUAACUCUUUUACCCCAAAAGUUCGCUAUGGCGAACCUGAUAAGGCUGCUCUUGGAAAGAAAAGGAAGAAUAUUAUUGCAAAUUCUCUUUCUAAGAGAAUGCGAGUAGGGAGAACUGGUGAAGUACCUUUUGUGCAAAAAAAUUAGGAUGAUGGUGUCAUUAGGGAAAGAGAAGAAGAUUGCUUUUGGGAAGCAAUGCGUGCAAAACAAGUAGAUAGGCAUCCAUGUGCAUUUCCUGGCUAUCAUUGGGACUGUAUUUGUAAUAAAGCCGUUUAAGAUAAAAGGUGCUCCAUCUUAGGAUCGUUAAUAUUAAAGUUCAGAUUUGAAUGUGGUGAAUUCUCCCUUUUAGUCAUUAAAUUUGGAUGUAACUUAUUAUGGGUACAAGGUUGAGAUGAAUGGGUAGAGAAAGUUUUGAAGAAUUUCACUCAUGUGACUGCUCUCAAUAAUGUCGGAGUCCUAAAUGCUGUAAGAGUUACCACGAAACUUUGUAUUUGUAAGGAACCCAGAAUUGAAGUAUGGCAUGCUAUUUUUGCGCAGUGGAGUACCUUUUCACAUACCAUGGUUGCUGUUUGAGGGAAGUUUACUUUCACUCUUGAAGAUGUGCGCAUUCUUUUGGAACUUCUUUGUGUUGGUAGAGACGACCUUUGUUCCAUUAUACUUUCUGAACAAGAAGAAAGAGUCAAGGAGUUCUUUAUCAACUUGUUUAAAAGCCAAGUUAUGGCUUCUAAUGUGGCGCGCUUCUUUAACUAGGUAAGACUCUUUUAUAAAAAGUUCAACAUUAAAGGUGAGAGUAGUCCUCGUAAGUAUCCAGAUCACAUUCAUGAGUUAGUAGCUUUGUUGAUUAUGUGGUUGGCUCGGUAUGUCUUCCCAAGUUGUCUAGAUGAUGGAAUAUCUUCUUUAGUUAUUCCUUAUGCAAUCAAAAUUGCUAAGGGCAUGAGCUUUCUUCUUGCUCCAUUAUAUCUGGGAUCCUUGUAUAGGAAGUUAGACUUGUAUUAUUCUAAGACAACUGAAUCAAUUGGCUGCUACAGAGUCUUGACUUAUGUGGAUGUAUCAUUUAUUUAGAUGUGUUUGUGGGAGACAUUCCGUAAUUGUGCCCCUACUUCUAAUGUGUAUCAGCUUUCUGUGUCUUCUUCUGCAAAUACAGUUUUAAAGAGACAAUUAUAGAGCUUACGCAUGGCAUGACCAAAUUUCUAAGGACAACAUUCUUAAGGUGUUGGAUGAGAUAGAUCAAUUUAUCGCAAGGCCUUAUGUGAGAUCAAACUAUGGUUUUGGUGAUCCAACUAUUUAUUAUGAUAGAUGACCAUUUGAGACUGGGAAAUUGAGCUCAUGCGGAUGAAACUUCUUAGCGUGGAUUUAUUUUUCCUAGCCACCUUCCAUGAUUGAGACGACUAGUUCAGGUGUUGAUAGAAAUUCAUUGUCAAUCGAAAUAUAUUCUCUUUACAGAGUGGCACGUCAAUUUGGAUAUGAUCAGCCAGCUCCACCUAGACCCCUUUUUUCUUGAAAACUUCUCCUAUUGCACUUUUGUAUUCCUUAUUGGUAUGCUCAAUCAUACUGUGGAUAAAUUCAAAAAUUGUGUUGUCCCAGCCUUUGUCAGAAUAAGUGCCUAUACCACUGGUUGGUAUGCUUACUGGGGAGAUUGUCUUCAGGAAUGGACUUCAUUUGCCAUACUUUAUCCUAAGGUGUAAUUGCAUGUUCCUUCCAUCAGUAACAAUGAUGUGUCACUUCGUUUGAUUCGCUCUAAGAGAAACAAAACCCCUUGUCAGGUAAGCUUGUUUCUUGCUCUUCUUUUUCUCCCUUUUCAUUUCAUUCUCACGUAAAUAUUUAAACUCUUUUUUUCUUUUUUUUUAAACAUAGUUAAUUCCAAAUGCAGAAGUGGAAAGACAGGUAUUUCAGAGUCUAAGAGCGAAAAAGAAUCAUGUGACAACACGAAUAACCAUGAGUCUAGUGAUAAGUCAAUUGAGGAGAGGUUUCUCAAUUAUGAACAUCAAAGUUUGGGAGGAGAAGUAUAUGGUAAUGCUAUACAAAGAGCUCUAAUAGAUAUAACCGAUUUCCUACCUUCUACUAUACAAAGUGUUGGUGGAGAUGAGGUGAAUGGCAUUAUGGGAGUCAACGAUGGUGAUGUGGAUGCUGCUACUAAAGUUGGUGGUGAUGAUGUGAAUGCUACUACGGGAGUUGGUGAUGACUCUGUGGAUGCUGCUACUAGAGUUGGUGGUGAUGAUGUGAAUGCAUUUAACCAAAAUGAUCAGAGUGCCCCUAGGUUUGGCUUUGAAACAUUUCAACAUAACAAUGCAAAUAUCAUUGUUGGGGCAACCUUUGGAAUUACUUGCAAUAUUCAGAACAACUUUGGAAUCAAUACUACUCUUGGUGCUACUCACAAUAUUUUUUCUUGCGAAGGUGUUCUGAAUGUUAGUCGCGAUGCUUCUUCUAUUGAGGGUGUUCUUAAUACUACUUGCAAUGUUUCUUUUUUCGGGGGUGUUCAAGAUUCUACUCGUAAUUCUUCCUCUUCUUUUAGAGGUAUUUCAAAUAACUCAAAUAUCAUUUAUUUAAAUAUUGUUAUGCCUUCUUCUUACUACUCACUAUAUGCCAUCCUUUUCUUUUCAGUGGUAGAAUGCAUAAAUGAUGCUUCUGACACUCAUUUGGAAGACUUUCAUGGCAUUCCAGUCAUGCCACAACACUUGUAGCCAUGUCUAUAAAGUAGAAGGUUAAUUUUGGCAUUUUAAACACAAGUUCUUGAAUAAAGGCAUCAAGGAUAGCUUGGGCACUACUUUAGAGAUUGUUUCCUCCCCAUAAGCAGAUAUUUCUCUGGAAGAACUACAGAAGACGGUUGGUCUCAUGAAAGAUGUCCUCCUCUCUAGCUGUCACAUUAAAUGUCUUGACGCUUGCAUGGCUAAGGCCAAAGGAUACAUUAUGACAAAGGUUGACAGACCUAACAUAGAGGCUGAGAUAAAAAACCUUGACUCAAGGAAAAUGGAGUUGCAAGGAAGAUUAGACAGCCUCUCCAAUUUUAAGAAUGAUAAAUCCUCCUACCAUCUAAAUUUCAUACUUAACUAGCUUUUCCUUGUUCUUCUUUUUUGGAUAUUAUAAACUUGUUCUCCAAAGUGAACAUUUACUUUGCUUUCUUUGUGGUUUUGUUGAGUUGUUUGGUUUUGUAUUUCAUUCUUUGCGAACAUAUAAGUGUUUCACAAGUAUUGCUAUGUGCGGCCAAAAGGAAUUCUCAACUUCAUAUUGGGGAAAAUAAUCCUCAACCUAAUAGGAAGGAGAAUUACAUAUUACGUGAGAGUUUAAAGCUACGACCUUUUUGUGAAUAGCAAACUAAGGCCAAGAAGUAAGCGAUAAAGCUUGCAGCCAAUAAUAUAAAGCCAGAUUAUGAGCAUUAAAGCUUGCGGCCUUUUUGUAAAUAACAUUUUGUUAUGUAACAUUAAUGUCUCCACUCUUUGAAGAUUUCUCAUUGCAAAUCUUGAAAAUGAAGGACAUACCCAACAAAUGCAUUGGAAUCAACAGUUUAGGACCAUGAUUUUUUUAAUACCAUGGGAUACAUUGGAAAUGACAAAGAUAAUAUUUUUUUAACAUUUAUAAAUAAAAUUAGGUUUUUAACCUUCCUAAUAAGGAGAAUGAGAGAGCGAAAGAUCUUUGUAAACUAAAGUACACUUAUUCCAUACUUUUAUACCUCUUGAUAAGAUCAUUGAGAUCUUGAAGGCCCAUCUUCUGUCUACUGGCCCCAACUUUGCUAAUUUUUGAAUUAGUGAUGCAUCAUUAUUCUUAAAUAAAGGAUUUUGAAGUAUUUUCUUGAUUAAUGCAUCAUGGUAAAAUUGACCAAGCCCUUUGCAACAAUUAUCCGUAACAAUUCUAAUUUUGAAUAUACUUGUGAAAACUCUAGUGACAGUGUAAUAUCAUCUUACUUUCACAAUUAUUUGCCUUGAUGGGAUCAACAUCAUGAGCCAUGAUGCUCCAUUUGCCAUAAUAACCAAAACUCCAAAGACAACAUAAACAUUGAUACUUGCCAUUACGAUUAAGGAGUAAUUAAUGUCUCUCAUUUUGGUUGGCAAAGUACUGUGGUACUGUUGCAAGUAUUAGUUUGUUUAGAAAAUGUUUAUUGAUAGGAUAACCAUGAGGAAUGAGAGAAUAAGUUGUAUUUAAAAAUGUUUUAAUGAAAUUUCAGGUUCAAUAGCAUUAAAAAUUUCAAUUGAGACAAUGUUUGAGAUUCAGAGUUUCAACCCAGUUUCCAUUCACAUUGCAAAUCUCCCUCUUCGUGUUAAUAAUCAGUGGUUGAAAACAAUUUGCAAAAAUCAUGGGUAUGGAUAGGUAAUCGAGACUUAUAUUCCUCAAAGACAGCCAAGGUGGGACAGAUGGUAUGGCUUUGCAAAAUUUCUCUCCAUGGAUGAAGCUCGAAAAGUUAUUCAAAACUUGAACAGUGUCAAUUUCUUUGGCCAAAUGCUAGUGGCAAGCUUGGCCAAGCAAAGGCUGUCUAGGCCCCUCAUAUGACAACCUUAAAAACCACAAAUCCCUAACCCCCAAUUUCAACAAAAACCCAUAGAUUUGUCGAACCAAUGGAGGGUAAUGCUCCAAGAUCUUUCAACAAUGUGAGUUUGGGUCAAUCCUGCCUCCAAGAUCUUGUGGGUUCGGACCAACAAGUGGACGCUGGGCCACCACUACCAUCCCCACCUCCUCUCUUGAAUGAUUCUUUGAAAUUUUGCUUGGGCCAUAUUGAGGUUGAGGCCCUUCACCACCUUGAGUUUUGUGUUGUGGGAUAUUGUAGGCACUGUCGUGAACUAGCAGAUGUUGAGAAAUUAAUAAAAGGUAUAGGCAGAAUCGGCUUUGAAGUCAGAAGGUUAUCGGGUUUUCAAUUUUUAAUUUCUUUUCCCAGUUGACAAGUUGUUGAGCAAGAGCAAACCAGUAAUUAGGAAUGGCUUUCUUCAUGGUUUUUAACUCUUUAAGCGGGUUUAUAUACGAAGUUCUAUGUAUAAGUAACAAUUAUAACCAUGAUCAAGUGUUACAUCCAUAAAUUAAGCAACAAAUUAGCAUAUAACUAAACAAAUUCAACAUAAAAUUAGAUCAAACAUUCAUUUAGUAAGACAUGUUUUUGAGACACUCCUGGUUCUGGAAUUAAAACAAUCCACUAUCAGCAUCUUGGAUAUUAAUCCAUACAUAUAUGCUUUGAGUUUGAAUUAAGUUCCAUUAAGCAUAUAUAUAUAUAUAUAUAUAUAUGCAUGUGAGUAGGGGAAAAACAGGAAGAAAAUAUUGUUCCAUGAGCACAAAAACCCUGUUCAUAGCUUACAGUUACAGCACUUCUACUUGGUUGUCAAACAACAAUGUCAAGGAUUAAAGCAAAUGGUAGCAAAAACAAGUGUUGUUAUCAGCUUUGCAGAAGUUGAAGAUGUUACCUUUAAAUAGCCGAGGAAUAAAAGAAGAAACGCAUCGUUCUGAUAUGCUGUUGAGGAAGGAAAACAAGUUAAAUGAGAAACGCAACGUUUUGAAGCAAAUAAAAGAAGACCGUUGGUUAUUUAGCCGUUAACCAUUUUUUAAUUCUUUUAGUUAGUUAACACUGUAAUUAGUUAUGCUCUUUGGUUUUUUCCUGAUGACAGUACAGAUGCUAUGUAUAUAUACAAAACCUCUGUAAUUUUUCCAAAUAUGAUAGUGGAAUAUUUUUCCCAAAACAUUCUCUGUAAAUACUCGUGAUUCAUCAUGGUAUUAGAGCAAGGUUAAGGCUUGCAGAAAUUCAUUUGGGAAUAUUCACAAAGCUGAUAGCAGCAUCAGCUAGAUCCAUUUAUCAUUCUCGCAUCACCAGGUCUACUUUCUGGUUUUUCAAUAAGUUGAUUCAUACUUUCAGCUUGUUCGAUCUUUCUUGUUCAGUGAAUCAUGUCAGAAUCUUUUGAAUUGAGAACUCAAAUGUCUCAAACCUCAACUGAUUUGGGGUCAACAUUAUCACCCAUAGCAGAUCCCCAGUCACCUUACUACCUGCACCACACUGAUCACCCUGGAUCAGUUGUAAUCAACCCUAAGCUUACCACAAGUAAUUACUUGGCUUGGAGUCUAUCCUUUUUAUUAGCUUUAUCAAUCAGAAAUAAAAUAGGAUUCAUUAAUGGUUCAAUCCCCAAACCUGAGGUAACAGAUCCUAUUUACCCUUCCUGGACCCGCUGUAACAAUCUACUGGUUGCUUGGCUUCUGGACUCCAUGACACAGCCUAUUGCUUCAACAGUAUUUUAUAUGGAUUCGACAGUGGAAAUCUGGAAUGCACUUAAGCAAAUUUUUGCCCAGCUUGAUGAUACUGGGGUCUGUAACUUACAGUACACUUUAGCUAACACAACACAGGGGACUAGGAUAGUUGAUGCCUAUUUUAUAGAGCAUAAAGGAAUUUGGGAAGAGUUUAGGAGUUUUAGACCUCUACCACAUUGCUAAUGUGGCAAAUGUAAUGCUGAUUGCUUUAAGAGAUUUUCUGACCAGUACCAAAAAGACAUGGUCUUCAGAUUUUUGAAUAGCCUAAAUGACUCUUAUUCAGCCAUCAGAUCACAAAUCAUCAUGCUAGAUCCCAUACCGAGUCUAGAUAAGGUGUAUAGCCUUGUGUUGAGAUAAGAGACACAAAGGAAUUUGAUGCUUCAAACACACCCUGUUCUAGAAUCAUCAGCUAUGCAAACAACUAGUGAUAUCAAGAAGAAGGCAAAGAAAGAUCUUCUUUGCUCACACUGUGGGAAGAAGGGACACAUUAAGAAGAAGUGUUACAGACUGGUUGGGUUCCUGAAAGAUUUUAAGUUCACCAAAGGGAAAAACAAUUUCAAAAAGGGGAGUCGGUUGUGAACAAUGUGGCAUAUGAACAUUUUGCAGGAGCACAAUCUGAUCAAGAGGAUGAUGCAGCAAGUACAGGAUCCACGUCUCAAAUAUCUAUCAUUAAACAUCCAGUCAGCAAGUUAAUGGAGCUCUUGAAUGAGAAUGGGAUCACUUGCAAUGAUGGUAAGGCCUCCACAACACCAAACAAUAAUCAGAGUAAGCCAUCCCUAAUCAAUUCUACCUUUGCAGGUAUAGUUUCAAAUCACCUCUGCUUUAAUACCUCUAAUAAUAUGCCAUAUUGCUUCAACCACAUUAGUAAUAUCAUGAUUAAGCAAGAUAGUUGGAUCAUAGACUCUGGUGCUUCUGAUCACAUUUGUCAUUCUUUAGACAAAUUUGUAAUAGCUCAUCCAGUUAGUAACCAUUAUGUUCACUUGCCAAAUAAUGGUAAAGCUCUUGUCACUCAUAUAGGUACUGUCAGAUUGUCAUCUUCAUUAGUACUCAAGGAUGUUCUUUGUGUUCCUAGUUUUAACUUCAACCUCAUUUCAGUGGGAGAGUUAACAAAAACAAAGAAGUCAUGUUUAUUCUUCACUGAUUCCUAUUGUGUUGUUCAGGACCUGCCAUCAUGGACAGUGAUUGGGGUUGCUAGAAUGUCUUCAGGACUUUAUCUGAUGCAGGACAAACAAGUUGAACAAGAUCUGUCUCAGUUUUCUUUUCAAAACUAUAUCAAGAACAUUUCUGCUUUUUCUGUCAGUUCCUCAAAGUCAAAAUAUAAAGACUUUGAUCUUUGGCACUUUAGGUUGGGACAUGCCCUAAUAGAAAGAAUUAAUGUAUUGCACAAAAAUUUUCCAGAAAUCAAGUGUUCAAAUGACUUAUUAUGUGAAAUCUGUCCAAAAGCAAAACAAAGGAAGCUUUCAUUUCCAGUGCAUAUUCAUAAUUCAAAAGCAGUUUUUGAAAUAGUUCAUAUGGACAUAUGGGGUCCAUAUGAAGUUCCUACAUUAAAUGGUCACAGAUAUUUCCUAACCAUAGUUGAUGGUCAUAUGGAUAUAUUUGAUAAAAGCAAAGUCAGAAGUUUCUUCAAUUAUUCCUGCGUUUAAUAACCUUGUUCAAAAAUAAUUUGAUAGUUCUAUAAAGUGUUUGAGGACUAACAAUGGUCAAGAAUUUAAACUUAUUGAUUUUUAUAGCAAAACUGGAAUUGUUCACCAAAUGUCCUGCAUUGGUACACCACAACAGAAUGGUGUUGUAGAAAGAAAACACCAGCACAUCUUAGCUGUGGCAAGGGCACUGAGACAUCAAUCAAAUCUGCCACUUACUUUCUGAGGGGAAGCAAUUUUAACUGCUGUUCAUAUAAUAAAUAGAGUGCCUACUAGAGUUCUUCAAAAUCAAUCACCAUAUGAACUUUUGUUUAAGAAACCACCUUUAUAUGAUCAUUUUAAAGUUUUUAGGUGUUUGUGCUUUGUAUCCACAGAAACACAUAACAGAAAGAAAUUUGACAGCAGAGCUAGCAAAUGUGUUUUUAUAGGCUAUCCAAAUCAUGUCAAAAGAUACAAAUUGUAUGAUAUUGAAGCACAAAGAGUCUUGGUAUCUAGGGAUGUUGUUUUUCACGAGGAUACCUUUCCAUUCCAUGAUUUAAAACAUGAAAACCAGAAUUCCACAUUUUCACAAACACCUGGUAUACAUGUCACACCUUUUGACCCUCUUGACUCAAUUUAUCUAAAUUCUCAUUCUUCUGGCCAAGACCAAAACACUUCAAUUUUGAAUGAACCUUCAGCAGCCUUAUAACAACCUUCCAUAUCAUCCAAUGAUGAAAGUCUUCAUAAUUUAUCACUUGGUAGUAGUCUGCCUACUGAAAAUGCCACAAGUCAACUUGAAACAGAUCCCAUCAUUGAUUCAGAUCAAGCUGCUAGAAGAAGCUCAAGAAUUAAGAGUAUACCAAAGUAUUUAGAAGCAUAUGAUCAUGAUCUAUCAUCUCAUACCAACAAUGUCACCCUGCACCCCAUAUCCAAUUACCUUUCUUAUCAUAAUCUGUCACCUGCACACAAGGCAUUCACCAUAUCCCUAUCCAGCAUACAGGAACCUAAAACUUACCAUCAAGCAGUAGCUCAUUCUCAUUGGAGAGAAGUAAUGGCAACUGAAUUGAAGGCACUUGAAGAUAAUGGGACAUGAAGUGUUGUACAAUUGCCUACUAAUUCUCACACUGUUGGCUGUAAGUGGGUUUAUAAGACUAAGUUGAAUGCAAGGGGAGAAAUAGAGAGGUAUAAAGCCAGGUUGGUUGCUAAGGGAUAUAGUCAAAUGACUGGCUUUGAUUAUCAAGAAACUUUUAGCCCUGUGGCUGAGCAAUCUACAGUCAGAAUUUUCUUUGCCUUAACAGCUGCAUGCAAUUGGUUACUGUUCCAACUAGAUGUGGACAAUGCUUUCUUACAUGGGGAAUUAAAUGAAUAAGUUUAUAUGGAGUUACUCGAGGGGUAUUCAAUCAAGGGGGAGCAUUCAGAUGACUCAAGACUAGUGUGCAAGCUGCAUAAAUCUCUCUAUGGACUCAAACAAGCCUCAAGGCAAUGGAAUGCUAAGCUGACAGCAUCUAUUUUGCAAUAUGGUUUCAAGCAAUCAAUGUCAGAUUACUCACUGUUCACUAUGAGCACAACAGGUGGUGAAUUUGUGGCCUUAUUAAUAUAUGUUGAUGAUAUUCUAAUUGCUAGCAAUUCUGCACAGGCUGCAACAGCUGUAAAGAGUCACAUUGAUUCACAGUUCAAACUCAAGGACUUAGGUACUGUUAAAUACUUCCUGGGACUUGAAGUAGCUAGAUCACCACAAGGCAUUUCAAUAUGCCAGAGAAAAUAUAUUUUGGAUUUAUUGGAAGAAUAUGGUUUACUUGGAGCCAAACCUUCAUCAACACCUAUUGAUUAUAAUGUUAAGUUGAGGAAAGUAAGUAAGGAAGAAGAAGUAACAGAUCCGACAAAAUACAGACAACUUGUAGGUAAGUUGCUUUACUUGACAUUCACACGACCUGAUAUUUGUUAUGUAGUACAGAAUUUGGCUCAAUUCAUGGACAAACCAACUGUAGAGCAUCACAUGGCUGCUCAAAGAGUGCUUAAGUACUUGAAGGGAGCACCAGGACAAGGGAUUUUAAUGAAGAGGGACAGCAAUUUAAAAAUUUCAGCAUAUUGUGAUAGUGACUGGACAGGAUGUCCUGACACUAGAAAGUCUGUGACUGGUUACUGUGUGUUCAUUGGAGAAUCUUUAGUGGCCUGGAAGUCUAAGAAACAGCAGAUAGUUGCUCGAAGCUCAACUGAGGCAGAAUACAGAUCUAUGGCAGCUACAUGUUGUGAAGUUAUUUGGAUUAAAGGUUUACUUGCAGAUUUUGGAAUUCAACACUAUGAUGCAGUGAAACUCUAUUGUGACAACCAAUCAUCAGUUUAUAUCAGCAAAAAUCCAGUUCUUCAUGAAAGAACCAAACAUAUAGAGAUUGAUUGUCACUUCAAUAGGGAGAAAGUUCAAAGUGGUGAGAUUGAACCUGUCUAUAUACCAACACAGCUGCAGGUUGCUGAUGCAUUCACCAAACCCCUGCAGCAUGGAACUUUCAAAAGGUUAUUAUACAAGAUGAACAUUCACAAUGUUCAUUGUUCAUCUUGAGGGGGAGUGUCAAACAACAAUGUCGAGGAUUAAAGCAAAUGGUAGCAAAAACAAGUGUUGUUAUCAGCUUUGCAGAAGUUGAAGAUGUUACCUGUAAAUAGCAGAGGAAUAAAAGAAGAAACGCACCGUUCUGAUAUGCUGCUGAGGAAGGAAAACAAGUUAAAUGAGAAACACAACGUUUUGAAGCAAAUAAAAGAAGACCGUUGGUUAUUUAGCCGUUAACCAUUUUUUAAUUCUUUUAGUUAGUUAACACUGUAAUUAGUUAUGCUCUUUUGUUUUUUUCUGAUGACAGUACAGAUGCUGUGUAUAUAUACAAAACCUCUGUAAUUUUUCCAAACAUGAUAGUGGAAUAUUUUUCCCAAAACAUUCUCUGCAAAUACUCGUGAUUCAUCAGUUGGGUUUGGAGCAUUACAUAAUUCAGGGAAUUUUCAAAUAGUUGGCUGUUUCUUGGAUGAAUUUGUUAAAAAAUGUUCCCUGAUCCCUUGCUUGCAUAAUGCAACUCUCAAUGGUGAUAAUUGAAGCAUUUGUUGACCCAAGUUGCAAGGGUUCAUGGCUUCAUGCUUUGUGUUUUUCAAUUACCAAGAGGAGAUCAGUCACAUGAAUCGAUCCCUUCAGUUUGUCAGUGCUCAAUUGAAAUGAAGUUUGUGUUUUUACAUUGCAAUUGAACUUAUUACCUUUAUUGUUUUCUUUAAAGGAAAAAGAAAAACCAAGCAAAGAGUGAUGAAGAGAUUGACUUGAAGCGUUACAGCUGGUAGGGAAAAAGCCAAACCUGAAUGAUUGAAUUGAUACCAAACGAUUUUAUCUCAAUAUGCCAAACAAUUGCCAAGUUUAGACACAAAAUCUUUAAGAGAUUUUGUUCUUGGUUGAGAACUUUUUAUGAAGUCCUGAUGUUUUGCUUGAAAAAGAAGAUAGUAAAGCUUUGGACAAUAACUCUAAACACAUAAGGGAAUAUAUCCGAAUUUUGUUUCUUCCCCAUUCACUUAAUUUUUAGAAUCGGGCAAACUCUAUAUAUAGAAGAGAUUUCUGAUCGUCAUGUAUAACUAAACAUCUGUACCAAAUAUCUCCCUCUACCGAAGCAACUUUCAGGCGAAUGGGGUUUUCCAAAAGAAAGCUAGCCAAUUAUAACUCUCUCUCAUGUUGCUAAGCCUACUUCCUAUCAGCAAUUUGGUAGCAGCAAGUCUGAUCCAAGCUGAUUACAAAAGGUGUCUUCUUCUUCUUCUUCUUCUAAUCCUGCCUCAAUACAAUAAAUAAAAAAGUAAAAUUUAACCUGCAAUCCUUGGAAAACUCCUACACCGAAUAGACAACCCCACACUCAACUGUUUAUUUGAAGUUGGACCAUGUCGUUGGAGAUGAUAGUACUAGUAAGAUCAUGUCCAACCCAGUGAUUAUGAGGUCUGUUUUUUGGUAGUGUUUCCGACUAUUGUGCUUGGAUCUCAAUUUAUAUAGGAUGCUUCCAUGCACUGUUGGUUUGUUUUAGCUCUUCUUGUAUAGCUUGCUUCCUUCAUCUGGGCUUGCCACGACAUCUGUUUUAAUUGCUGUAAGUUUUUUGUAUGACCUUAUAUUCUAAUGAAUUUUCUUCUUGUCUCUCUUCAAAAAAAAAGUCAUGUCUAAUCCAAUAAUUUCCUUAUUUUCUUUAUUUUGUCAAUAUUUAAUAAAACUUUCCUUCAUUGUAUUUUAUAGAUAAAGACUUGCUUACCUUCAUACUCCAACGGUUUGAAAAGUACCCGAAUUUUAAGUCUAGAGAUUUAUAUCUUGGCGGACCUAGCUAUGCAGGUUCCAAAAACAAUCAUUUCAUUUUUUCAUUUCAAAGUCAAAUCAAUUCAUUGUAGUUUAAUUUAUUUAGAAUUUGAUAAAGAAUUAAUUAGCCGUUAAUGAAAAUUGAAAAGAAAUUAUGGCCUCUAAAACAUAUUUUUCUUUUCAGUUUGCAUUUCAUACCAUUUUACAAAUUUCAUUUAACUAAUAAUAAUGUUAAUUUUUCUUAGGACACUUCAUACACAGUUUCGCUAAUUCCUUACUUGAUUACAAUAUCAAACAAUCAAACAGUUUUAAGUUCAACAUCAAACGAUUGGCAGUAAGAAAAAUGUCGAUCUAACCACUCUUUAAGUCUUUUGCUUAAUUAGUUGUCUCAAUGAAAUAAUAAUUUUAGGUCCUUUUUUUCUUUUUUUUUUAAUUAUUUUUAAAUAGUUGGGAAAUCCACUUCUUCAUAAUAAGCUAGACACUUUUGCAAUAUAUGAUUUCUUUUGGUCACGUGGAAUGAUUAAUAUUAACUUCCACCAACAAAUCUUGAAAGAAUGCAAUGGAAUUGACAAGGACUACUAUUCCCAUAAUGCCAUCAAAUGGUCUGAAUCAUGCCAACAAGCCAUGGAUAAAGCUAAAAUGGCUGCUUUUAUUGUAUCUUCCAUUAAUGUAGCUAAGGCAAGACGCUUUGAUGUUCUUCGAGACCCUUGUGAUAAAAAAUGGGAGACCUUGUGUUAGGAAAGGAGGUAUUCAUGUUGUUUCUUUGUGUAUUAUUGUGAAACUUAUUCACUCUUCUUUUUAUUUAUAUUUUAUAUAUUAAUUCUUUUUCUGCUGUUAUAAGUUACGAAGGUUAGUUAUGAUGUAGAUAUGUGCAUUCCUUUUAGGGCAGAUUUCUAUUUCAACAUUCCAAAAGUUCAAAAUGCUUUUCAUGGGGAUCGAACCAAUUUAGGGUACCAAUGGAAGGGUUGUUUUGAGUAAGUUCUUUAUAUAUAAAAUUUUGCACAUUAGGAUCUAGUCCAGUGAUCUGUAACAAAUGUUUAUACUUAUUUUUCCUUUUUAAAAUCUUCAUAAUCUACUAGGAAAAGUGGUCUUAAAUAUAGCGAUGCUAAUAAAGACAUUGGCAUGCUUCCUGCAUUGAAAAAAGAUGCUGAUAAAGACAUUGACAUACUUCCUGCAUUGAAAAAAAUUCUCCAACAGUCUAUUCCUAUUACAAUAUUCAGAUUUGUAUUCUAUAUAUAUAUGUAUGUAUGUAUGUAUAAUAUGUUUCUUACUUGGCAAUAAAGAAAGUUUUAGUAAAUAAAUUAAAUAAAAAUUAUGUGACAGAACUUUUUAUUUUAUUUUCUUUUAUCUUUUUAUCCAAUAUCAUGUUAUAGUGGAGACCAAGAUGCUAUAGUACCAACAGUUGGAAACUUAAACCAUGUUAACAAGUUAGCCAAGGAUAUGAAUUUGAAUAUGACAAAAGAUGUAGCUUGGAAUCAUGAAAACAAGGUUUUUGAUUUAUCCAUUUGUAUUUUACUUAAUUAUUUGUUUAUCAUUUUCUUCUAAUUAAUAUCAUAUUAAUUAGUUUAAUUAAUGGAUAGAGUGGAGGUUGGAUGUACUCGUAUGACAAUUUAUUGAAUUUCAUGACUGUAAGACGAACUAAUCAUCCUGCGACUUUUUCUAAACCAUCUGAAACUUUAUUUAUCUUCACAAGUAUUAUACUUAACCCAUCACACUGAGUUAGCCAAUUUCAACAAGGCUUGAUGUCUCAUAUUCUUUUCUUCUUCCUCCAAAAGGAAAAAAAAAAUAGAAAACAUAAUUGGAAUUUUAUGUUAUGUUGUAGCGAAAUAGCAUUGUUUUUUGAACAAAGAUCUUUUCUUUGAUUUUAGUGUUGCUAUUUUCUCCUCUUUUCAUCUCCCCUCUCUCUCUCUCAUCUUCUCCGUCUUCUUCAUUAUUUUAUUAGUAUACGCAACCUAAGGAGCUUUUGUUUUCUCAUUUAUGUUUUCUGACAUAAUGUAUUUGUAUUUAAUGCUUCCUAGAUGGCCGAUAGAGCAGAUUCCCCUGUCUCAUCGGUUGUUGUUUCUAAAGGAGGAAUUGGUGAGAUAGUAAAGCCUUUGACAAUAACUCUAAGGUCUACAACACAUCAUAAACAUAGAAAACAGCAGGAAAAUACACAACAAACACGGUUGAAAGCUCUUAAAACAAACAUAUUUGGGAAUAUAUCCAAAUUCUGUUUCUUCCCUUUUCACACAAACUCUAUAUAUAGAGCAACCCAAUUGCAAAUGCUGGCCAAAGUGGAAAAAGUCCCACAUUUAAUAGACAAUAUUAUAAUUAAUAUGUUUAUUAAGGUGGGCAUGACUUCCCUGCUUGCCGAGCUCGGUAGCGUGGGUUUGUUAUUAAGAGGGGCAUUAAAGUGAUCGAAAGCGACGAGGAAUUGGUUCAGAGGGGUGGAGUUAAUCUUGGGUUCAGCAAAAAGCUCGUGCGCCCCUUACCUUUGGGAAAAGGGAUCUCCACCGACCGUGGAUGGGUUGCACAGCUAAUGCUCAAAUUGUUUUGGUGUAAGGUUAACUUUCCACCACAGACCCAAGGGUGAAUCCCACCCAGGCGUGCAUCUGGCCCGUAUUCCCUUCAAACGAUCAACUUUUUUUGUCUAUUUUCUCAUUCUCGCUGUAGAAGAGUCUUUACCGAAUCUAAUUUUUGUUAAGAAACCAAUAUAAUUAAGAGUUUAUGCUCAUCGGUACUUGAUCAGGUGAAAUAAAUGCUAUUGAGGUUGAAAUGUCUUUAAGAUUUUUUAUAACAUUUUCUCUCCCUUUACCCUAUAAAUGAAUAUUUUCCUAAUAAAUCAGUUCUUGCAGUAGCACAAAAGUAUCCUGCCGACGAGUGAAACGAGAAAAGUUAGGAUUUUUUGAGCAAAAUGACAAGUUUCAAUGUUUAUAUUACUUUCGGUGUUUUGGUAUUUAUGACAAGUGGAGUGGUCACGGUUCGCCAUGUUGAUCCGAUCGAAGCAAAUAAUUGUGAAACUAAAAUGACAAUGCAUUGUGUUACUAAGGUUUUCGUUGACAUAUUCAAGAUCGGAACUGUUUCUAAUAAUUGUUGUUAUGAACGUGUAGGACUUGGUCAACUUUGUCAAAAUGCCUUAAUGAAGAAAAUUCUUCAAAAUCUUCUAUUUAAAAAUAACGAUACAUCAGUGAUCUUAUCAAGAGCUACUCAAACAUGGAAUAAGUGUACUCUACUUGGCAAGAAUGAUUCAUCCACUCCUCGUUGAGAAGGUUAAUAACUUAUUUUAUUAAUAAAAAUUCUAAAGAAAUAAUACUUUUGGUGUUGCUCUUUUUUGGAUAAAGGCAAAUUUGAAAAAAAAAAUUUCAUUUUCACACAAAUUCCAAUUAAAGUGGAUAUAAAGGCAAUGUCAAAAUCUCCUCAAACAAUGCACUAUAUGAAAUUUGACAAUAAUGGGGUUAAAAGAAUUUCUUUUAUGAGAAUUCCUUUUUGAAAUCAAAAUUUCAUCAUAAUGUGCAGUUAAAGAAUUUUCAACAAAGAUGAUAUUAUUAUUAAAUUCAAUACACAUUAACAAACUAACAUAAAUUUAAACCAAACUAAACCAAACUCAAACUUCGUGAGAUUCAAAAUUUUAAAAGUUAAUAAUUUUAACACCUCUUUCUUACCAUCAAAAUGAAAUCCGAGAAAGAAAUUUUUUACUCCAUCCACCUAUUGGUCGAUAAUUAAAUCAAGGUAGUUGUCACAAAAUGUUAUUUCAAUUAACUAUAAAACAAUCCAAGCAUAUUAGCAUUUCACUCAUUGGUUGGUGUAUGAUCCUUUAUUUAAAGAGUAAGAUUCGAAUCUCCCUUCUCCCAAUUAAAAAAAAACCUAUAAAAAAAUCCAAACUUUUGACUAAAAUGUCUAGCUUAAAAAGUCCAAAACAAAAAAUCUCAAAACACAAACAAACAAGAACCCAAACUCAUACUUAAAAAGAUUAGAUGUCAUUCAUACAACGUUUUUGAUCAUUCAUUCAAAUCAAUAAAAGUUAGAAGUUAUAUAAGAAACAAAUUAAAAUAUGAUCACCUUUUAAAUUUAAAGCAACUUAAUAUUUAUUAAUGCAAAAUAGCAGCUUCUACAUAUAUUUCAUAAAUUUGGACAUCCACUAUUAUUUAUAAAAAUAUAAUAAAACUAUGCUCAAAAAUUAAUUUUUAACAUUCCAUACACAAGUAAACUCCACCCUUCAAGCCAUCGGUCUCUAACAUUCAACCUUCGUACGACAUUUAAUUUUCUUAAUUUUGCGAUCUUCAAAAUUUAAAUUUUAAAUUUGUGAUUUUUAAAAAAAAUUCUAAAUUCAACAAUUUCGUCAAUUAUUAUUAAAAUUCGAUAAAUUUGCUAACUUAGGACCACGUGAACAUUCAUGUGACAACAAUUAGUAGACCUGGAUAUUUAGAGGUACAUAUUGCAAAAAAAAUGGACUUAUUGGACAUUUUAAGUUAAAAUUUACGUCCAUGAAUAUUCACGUUGUGUUGAUGUAACAUACUUCAUUGAUUUUUAAAAAUGAUUGAUAAAAUGGAUGGAUUUGAAAUAUGUUUAAAAGUCAUAGAUAAUAAUUAUUAACGUAAAAGAGCAGUUUAUAUAUAUAUAUAUAUAUAUAUAUAUCGUCAAAUCAAACAUCUAUUAUUUAUAAAAAUAUAAUAAAACUAUGCUAAAAAAUUUGCAGCAAAUUUGGUUUCUGUUAAUAUCUUUUUUAUAUGCAUCCAAUGUUUUGUUUUUUUUUAAUUUGUUUAUUCCCAAGUAUGCAUCAUUAUAAGAGAAAGUUCUCAUCAAUUCUUGCAGUAGUACAAAAGUAUUUUACCAACGAUCCAAACAAAAGAAGUUAGUACUCCUUGAGUGCAAUGGCAAGUUUCAACGUUUAUAUUGCUUUCGAUGUUUUGGUGAUUAUGACAAGUGGAGAAGUCAUGACUCGUGAUGUUGAUCCGAUCAAAGCAAACAAUUGUGAAACUAAGAUGAUAAAACAUUGUGUUAUCGAGGUUUUUACUAGUAUAUUCAAGAUUAGAACUGUUUUUGAUAAUUGUUAUCAUGAACUUAUAGGACUUGGUCAACUUUGUCAUAAUGCAUUGGUGAGAAAAACUCUUCAAAAUGCUCUAUUUAAAAAUAACGAUACAUUGGUGAUCUUAUUAAAGGCAACUCAAGUAUGAAUAAGUGUACUUUACUUGGCGAGGAUGUUUUCCCCACUCCUUCUCCUUGAGAAGGUUAUAUUAAUUAUUCAUUUUAUCAAUAAAAAUUUUGAAGAAAUAAUAUACUUUCGAUGUUGUUCUUUUUUAGAUAAAGGCAUAUCAAUUUUAUUAUAAUCUUCAGUUUGUUCGUUUAUGCCAUGAUAAUGAAAAGCAAUUUUUUUUUUUUUGUGAAUAUAGUUUUGGGUAGAUGAUGAUGUUCAUAAAUACAAAAAGUAUUUCAUCAAUAUAUGUACAUAUCUUAGCCCUUUUAAUCAAAUCCUGAUUUAAAAGAAUAUUUGUAGACAACCCACUUUAUUCGGGGUCAUUUUUAUAAAUUUUGAAAUUAAAUUAGAUUAAGACCAUUUUUUAUAAGAAACCAAAUAUUUUAAUAUUACAAAGAAAUUGACUGUUUCCAAACAAAAUUUUUCUUAGGAAAAAGUCAAAUUUCCAUACAUAUGAUAGUAUUUUUAUUCAAAUCUUGAUAUAAAAUAGUAUUUGUUGACACCCCAUUUUUGUCAGAGGUCAUUUCUAUAAAUUUUGAAUUAAAUUAGAGUAAGACCAUCUUUUAAUAAUUAAUCCAACUAUAAGGCUACAAAAAAAUUGACUUUUACGAACAAAAUUCCAAAGAAAAAGUUUGUCAUUGCAAAUGUAGUAAGCAAUGCCAAUGGUCGAAAAAUUAAAAAAUUUUGUCAAUAAAACUUCUAAAUUUUCAAUGAAAAAUUUCGUUGAGAAAGGCAAAAAAUUGUUAAAAAUGUCGGUUAAUCCAUCAAUAAUAAUCGUAUCAAGUCCGUAAAAAACUAUUGAAUUUACCUAUGUUUUGUCAAUGAUGAGGUAAUUAAUUACCUAUGAAAUUCCAUCGAUAUUUUCAUCAGUAAAAUCUAUAAAAAUCAUCAUAAAUAAUCCAGUUCUCAUCUCAACUCAAAAUUGAAAUCCACUAUUCAUAACAAAAGUUAGUGUUGAACUAUGAAAUUGAAAUUUAACUUGAAAUUCAAAUUAAAAUAUAUAAAUAUCAAUUCAAAUAUUUGACCCCUAAAGUAUGGGUGUUUUUUGUCGCCUGUAUAAAGGCUUUGUGUUUCGAUUUAAGGUCGCUACCAAUAGCUUUUUGUGCGAUUGCAAAAUGUUGUAAUUGUACAGGUUCUUUUUAUUCAAAGCUAGUGAUGUUUAUGUCACCAGCAGUCUUCAGUCAUUCAAGCUAAUGACUUGUAAUGGCGUGCUGGCUGAUUGGUUUAAUGAAAAAUCACCUUUAAAAAAAAGUAUGAUACAAGGACACCAGACAUUACAUUGGUGUCAUAAUGCCCUCUUUAGCAGUAACACCAAAGAAACACCCUAAUCAAAACUAUACACGACACAAACCUUUUUGUGGCAUAAUUGCCCCUAUCAAAAAACCAAUAUAUAUGAAACACUUCUAAAACAACUCCAAAAACAUGAAAGCCACUAUAUGAAGCACUAUAUGCACACGGUAACACCUCAAUGCAGCCAAGGGGCACAGGAAAAAGAAGCAUCAAUACAAAGGCAUUACAGCUUUAACAUUUUGUUAUUGUUUAUUAAACAUUUUGCUAUGUAACAUUAAUGUCUCCACUCUUUGAAGAUUUCUCAAUCCAAAUCCUUAAAACUCAACAAAUGCAUUGGAAUCAAAAGUUUAGGAUCAUGAUUUCUUUAAUACCAUGGGGUACACUGCAAAUGAAAAAGGUAAUUUUUUUUAAUAUUUAUUGAUAAAACUAGAUUUUUGACCUUCCUAAUAAGGAGAAGAAGAGGGCGAAACAUUUUUGUUAACUAAAUUGCACUUAUUCCACACUUGUGCACCUCUUGAUAAGAUGACCGAUGUAUCAUUAUUUUUAAAUAGAGGAUUUUGAAGAGUUUUCUUGAUUAAUGCGUCAUGGCAAAAUUGACCAAGUCCUAUAAGCUCAAUGCAACAAUUAUCCGUAACAAUUCCAGUCUUGAAUAUACUUGUGAAAACUUCAAUGACACAAUGCAAUGUCAUCUUAGUUUCACAAUUGUUUGCCUUGAUGGGAUCAACAUCACGAGCCAUGACCACUCCACUUGCCAUAAUAGUCAAAACUCCAAAAACAACAUAAACAUUGAAACUUGCCAUAACGACUCAAGGAGUAAUUGAUGUCUCUCGUUUUGGUUGGCAGAAUACUUUGGUACUACUGCAAGAAUUAGUUUGCCUAGAAAAUGGUUAUUUAUAGCAUAACCAUGAGGAAGGAGAGACUAAGAUGUAUUCAAAAACGUUUUAAUGAGAUUUCAGGUUCAAUAGCAUUAAGUUUUUCAGUGUAUGAAUUAAUUUGAUAAAUUUUCAACCAAAAAUUUUUUUUUAGUAGGAUAGCAUUUAGUAAUUUUCAGUUAUAGAAUAUUUUAAAGGAAAGUUACAUUAGUCUCAAAAACAAAAAUUUUCCGGCCACCAUAUUAAGUUUGAUAGUUUGUGACAUUAAUGCAGCAAAUAUGAAUAAAAAACACAAGAAAUAGUAAUCUCUCGGCAUAAUAAAUCCAAUUCCUUUUCAACAUUCGAGCUGUAGAUUUUCAAGUUGAAACUUUAAGUUCUUAACAAAUUGGAAAAAUUAUAGAAAAAUGAUAUUGAUAAAAAAGAAAUAAUAUUCAAGUGCAAUUUCACAUCAAUUCCUUAUUCGUAAGAUUAGAGUAAAUUGCAGACAAUCAGAUACCAAUUACAUAUUUAUUAUUUAAACUUACAUCAUCCUGCAAAACCUCAAAUGUCAAUUUCUUGCAUUGUCUCAAAGCUUUCUCUUCACCUUUCCUAAUUUACAUAUUGCCCUAGAAUAUAAAGCCAGCUACAAGCUACAUUAAUAAGACAAUGAAAAGUAUUGAGAGAGAAUGAGAGAGAUGAGGUGAAUUCCAAAAAGGCUCUCUUCUUCCAAGAUCACAUUGUCUCAAUAUUCCGAAGCAACUUUCAGGCGAAUGGGGUUUUCCAAAAGAAAGCUAGCCAAUUACAAGCCUUUCUCUCAUGCUUCUAAGCUGCUUGUGUUGUUAUCUGGCUUGAUGCCUAAUUCAGACGUCACUACUUCAUUGAUUGCAAUGUGGUAAGCUUGGCACAAUAGUUUUCCAAUAUGUAUAUAUUGACUAUACUAUCUUCCAUGAACUCUGGGAUAGGGAAUCAGAUAUGGUUUUUACAAGUCUUUACAUUAAUUUUGUAGAUACAAGUGUCAAUACCAGUGCCAAUGAUAAAGCAUCCAAUAGCUAUCGGACACAAAUAAGUUGGAGAAAAUUGAAGAGUCCAUGUUACAUAUUCCUUUAAUUUUAAUCAUUUAGCAUUUGGUCAUAAUAUUUGGGCUAGUUUCUUUAGUAACAGCUCUUCUAUUCAUUGAACAUCCCUUUAUGUUCCGUGACAAGUUCUUCUGUCUUUGGAACCUUUGGUGUGAUAGUUGGAAUAUUCAGUAGGUAAUGCCAAAAGGGUUUAGAGAACUCAUGACUAUCUGGAACUCGUGCAGCAUGGCAGAAGGAAAUUGUAAUGUUUGGAAGCUAACCAUCUUUGCAGUCACGUGGCCAAUGUACUCUCUAAUUUCCGGAUGACAGGUUGCGACAGGGACACCGAACCAGCCUUUACCCCGAGGGGCAAUCCCAAGUAAUUAGUAGGCCAGUUACCCACUUUGCAUUUAAUGCUUUCAGCUCAGGGAGCAACUUGAUUCUGCUGCAAUCCAACUCCGAAUAACUGACUUUUCUGGCAAUUAGAGAGUAAAUUAAUUUUUAACGUUCGCUAAAAUUUGCAGCAAAUUUGGUUUCUUUUAAUAUCCUUUUCUAUAUGCAUCCAAGGUUUUGGUUUCUUAUAGUUUGUUUACGGUCAGGUAUGCAUCAUGAUAAGAGGAAGUUCUUUGUUAUUGUCUCAUAGGUCUAUGUUAUUGUGUUCCCAAGUGAUCAAUCAUGAUAAUCCUCUUUGUUGGCAUAUAUAUAAUAUAAGUUGAAUUCAAUUAAAAUAUGGAAUUCUCAGGCUAAUCAUUAAAAGCUAACAAGACUUAAAACAUUUAUCAUAAUCUCUGUCAACUUGUCCAGGGAUGGAGCACUGGAGUCCUCUUAGAGUGGCUGUGGUAGCUCUGUUAUUAUUGUUGGUCUUUCUUAGGAAUAACAAUGAACACAUUAACCUUCAAAAAAAAAAAAACAAUGAACACAUUACUUCCAAAAAAAAUGAACACAUUAAAUUAAGAGAAAAAAGAAGGAAAAGUUAUACAUAGAAAAGAAGCAAAUAGAUGAAGAAAAUACAUUCUAAUAAAAUUAGAUUAUAAAUCUCAUCUACACAUUCUAUAAGAAAUGAAUAUAAUUGGAAUUCUUCAAAAAUGAAUAUAAGUAUUAGUUUCUACCCAUCAGUACCCGAUCAAGUUGAAUACAUAUAAAUGCUAUUGAAGCUGAAAUGUCUUUAAGGUUUUUAUAAUGUCUUCCCUCCCUUCACCCUAUAAAAGAACAUUUUCCGGGCAAAUCAAUUCUUGCAAUAGUACAAAAGUAUUCUGCCAACGAUCAAAAAAAGAGAAGUUAGUAUUCCUUGCAUGUAAUGGCAGGUUUCAAAGCUUAUGUUGCUUUUGGUGUUUUGGUGAUUAUGACAAGUGGAGCGGUCAUGGCUCAUGAUGUUGAUCCGAUCAAAGCAAACAAUUGUGAAACUAAGAUGACAACGUAUUGUGUUUUCGAGGUUUUCACUAGUAUAUUCAAGACUAGAACCGUUUCUGAUAAUUGUUGUCAUGAACUUAUAGGACUCGGUCAACUUUGUCAUAAUGCAUUGGUGAAGAAAACUCUUGAAAAUCCUCUAUUUAAAAAUAACGAUAUGUCAGGGAUCUUAUUAAGGGUAGCUCAAGUAUGGAAUAAGUGUACUUUAGUUGGCGAGGAUGUUUCGCCCACUUAUUCCCCUUGAGAAGGUUAUAUUAAUAAUUUAUUUUAUCAAUAAAAAUUCUAAAAAAAUAAUAUACUUUCAAGGUUGUUCUUUUUUUGAUAAAAACGCAAAUCAAUUUCAUUAUAAUCUUCAGUUUGUUCAUUUAUGUCAUGAUAAUGAAAAGUAAAUUUUUUUUGUGUAUAUAGUCUUGGGUAGAUGAUGAUGUUUAUAAAUACAAAAAGAAUUUCAUCAAUAUACAUACAUACAUACAUACCUUAGCACUCUUAUUCAAAUCUUGAUAUAAAAAAAUAUUUGUAGACAGCCCACUUUAUUCGGGGUCAUUUUAUAAAUUUUGAAAUUAAAUUAGAUUAAAACCAUUUUUUAUAAGUAACCAAAUAUGUUAAUAUUACAAAAAAAACUGACUGUUUCCAAAUGGAAUUUUUUUUAGAAAAAGUCAAAUUUCCGUACAUAUCAUAGAAUUUUUAUUCAAAUGUUGAUAUAAAAUAAUAUUUGUAGGCACCCCAUUUUUGUCCGGGGUCAUUUUUACAAAUUUUGAAUUAAAUUAGCAUAAGACCAUUUUUUAAUAAUUAAUCCAAUUUUAAGGCUAUAAAAGAAAUUGAUCUUUUCUAACGAAAUUCCCAAGAAAAAGUUGUCAAAAAUUUCCUGGUUGAAAAUGUAGUAAGUGUUAUCAGAAUUCUGUUUCUUCCCCAUUCGCACAAAAUCCUACGACUCACUCCAUUUUAGAAUGGAUCAAACUCCAUAUAUAGAAGACAUUUCUGAUCGUCAUGUAUAACAAAACAUCUCUACCAAAUAUCUCCCUCGACCGAAGCAACUUUCAGGCAAAUGGGGUUUUCCAAAAGAAAGCUAGCCAACUAGAACUCUCUCUCAUGUUGCUAAGCCUACUUCCUAUCAGCAAUUUGGCAGCAGCAAGUUUGGUCCAAGCUCAGUACCGCCUACUCGAAACGGUUAUGGGAGAUCAGAAUUUGGCUGACUAUUCGUCAAUGCAAAAGGUGUCUUCUUCUUCUAAUCUUGCCUCAACACAACUAAAAAAGUAAAAUUUAACCUGUGGCUUUGGAAAUUGUCCCACAUUGAAUAGAUACUCUAUAAUUUAUAUGUUUAUUAGACAUAAGCGGGCGUGUCUUAAAAGCCGGGCUCGGUUGCGUGGGCCUGUAACCAAGAGGGGCUGUAGGGUUGUCGAAUGGAGGAAGGUGACCACCCUGAGGUUUGGUGUUUACCCUUUGUCUCUUGGAUGUGGGUCCGGUGGGCUUACAUGUCCCUUUCGUCCAAACGAUUAACCUUUUAUCCUUUUCAAUUCGACCUAAUAAUUUAAUUUUUAUUAGGUUAUCUUUUCUUUGCCUAUUUCCUCAUUCUCUUUUAUCUUUUCAAUUCUUCUUUAUUCCAAAGAUAACAAAUUGUUCAAUUCUUCUUUAUUCCUAAGAUUUUGUAGAUUAGAUCCAUAAUAUAAUAAUUUAAUAUUUAUUAAGUUAUCUUUUCUUCAACUAUUUUCUUUCUUUCUUUCUUUUUUUUUAAUUUAUGCUCAUUCCUUAAUUUGCUAACAAAUUGUCACAGAAUUUUUGUUCACAAAUAGUAUUUUACUAGUUCGAUUAAGAAAACUUUUUAUCUUUUCAAUUCUUCUUUAUUCUUUAAUUUGCUAACAAUUGACACAGAAUUUUUGUUCCCAACAGUAUCUUACUAGUUCUAUUAAGAUUGUGCAGAUUAGAUCCAUAAUCUAAUAAUUUAAUUUUUAUUAGGCUAUCUUUUUCUUUGUCUAUUUGCUCAUUCUCUAUAUAGAAGAGUCUUUCUUUUCUUUUUUAAAAAAUUUAUGUUUAUUAGGGGCGACCAUGCGUUCUAAAUGUUCCUAGUUCGGUAGUAUUUGCUUGUAACCAAGACGGUAUUAAUGUUGUCGGAUGCUACAAGGUGACGGGACAAAGGUUUAAUGAUAACCUGGUUCUAUUAUCAAGAGGGGCAUUAAAGUGGUCGAAUGCUGCAAAUUGAUGCUUUAGAGAGUGGUGGAGUACUUUUUAACCUUUUUUUUUUAAAGCUGAAAUAAGAAUUUCAUUGCAGAUCAGAGCAGAACCAAUGCUUACGAAGACAAAAGCUGCAAAGAACAGGAAAAGGGUGUAACACGAUAACUUCUCAGAAGAUCAUCUACCCACUAGUACUAUUCUCGUUCAAAUUUGUUUAGCUGUGAAGUUUUGAUGAGAUUCAAUGCACUAGUACCGGUAUGAUCUCACCUUUUUAAUCUUUAAAUCUGUUAAAAUAUUGUUGCGUCCCCUACCCUUGGCAAAAGGGACUCCCACUCUCCAUGGAUGGGUUGCAAUGUCAACUGGCCCAUAUCCCUUCUCUUCUAAACAACCAACUUUUUAUCUUUUCAAUUCUUCUUUGUUCUUUAAUUUGCUAAUAAAUUGUUACAAAAUUUUAUUUUUUUACUCGUUUAAUCAAUUAUAAUUUUAUAUUUUUUAUCUAUUUUUGCUUUAUAAAGCUUGUAAUUAAGAAAGAGUAUAAAAAGAAAAUUAUGAUAAAAAGUUGGAAAAGGAAUUAAUCAAACAUUUGCCUUGCUUGCUUUGCUUUACAUGAGAGAAGUUAGAAGUCACCGACCAAAAACAAAACUAAACAUAGAAAUAAACAAAAAUAAAUAAUGUUGUAUUGAACAUAUUUAUAUAUGUGUUGACCCACCCCAAUUUGAGGGGUAACCAAGCAAACCCAUCAAUGUUCACAUUUUGCUACCCAUCCGUCUAGGAUGGGAAUGACUUUCUAACCCGAUCAUCUAAGUGUAGGGUUCACGUUUUCAAUUCAAAAGAUUAAUUUAUUUUAUCAAUAUAUAUUUUAAAGAAAUAAUAUACUUUCAUUGUUGUUCUUUUUUAGAUAAAGGCAAAUCAAUUUGAUUAUAAUCUUCAGUUUGUUCGUUUAUGCCAUGUUAACGAAAUAUAAAUUUUUUUUGUCAAUAUAGUUUUGAGUAAAUGAUAAUGUUCAUAAAUACAAAAAGUAUUUCAUAAAAAUGCAUGCAUAUCUUAUCAUUUUUAUUCAAAUCUUGAUGUAAAAUAAUAUUUGUAGACGACCCACUUUAUUCAAAAUCAGUUUUGUAAAUUUUGAAAUUAAAUUAAAUUAAAUUAAUUUUUUAUAAGUAAACAAAUAUUUAAAUACUGCAAAGAAACUUGCUGUUUCCAAUAACAUUUUCUAUAGGAAAAAUUCAAAUUUUCGCAUAUACCAUAUUAUUUUUAUUCAAAUCUUGAUAUAAAAUAAUAUUUGUAGACACCCCAUUUUUGUCUACAAUCUUUUUUAUAAAUUUUGAAAUUAAAUUAGAGUGAGAUCAUUUUUAAAUAAUUAGAGUAACACCAUUUUUUAAUAAUUAAUCCAAUUUUAAUGCUAGAAAAAAAUUGACUUUCUUCAACAAAAUUCCAAUGAUAAAGUUCGUCAAAAAUUUUGUCGAUGAAAAUGUAGUAAGCAAUGGCAAUGGUCAAAAAAUUAAAAAAGUUUUGUCAAUAAAACUUUAAAAUUUUCAAUGGAAACUUUCGUUGAAAGGGCAAAAAAAUGGUUCAACAAGUAGGCUAAACUGUCAAUAAUUAUAGUAUAAAAUCUGUCGAGAAUUAUUGAAUUUACCUAUGAAAUUUUGUCGGUGAUGAGGUAAUUAAUAGCUAUGGAAUUCCAUUGAUGAAAUUAAUAAAAAUAAUUAUAAAUAAUCUCUUUCUUGUCUUGACUAAAAGUUCAAAUCCACGAUUCAUAACAAACGCUAAUAUUGAGCUAUGACAUUCAAAUUUAACUUGAAAUUCAAAUUAAAAUACAUAAAUAUUGAUUAAAAUAUGAUACAAGGACACGAGACGUUACAUUGGUGUGAGAAUGCCCACUUUAGUAGUAAUUACCAAAGAAGCACCCUAAUCAAAACUGUACACGACACAAACCCUUUUGUGACAUAAUCGCCUUUAUAAAAAAAAAAACAGUAUAUAUGAAACACUUUUAAAACAACCCCAAAAAUAUGAAAGCCACCAUAUGGAGCACCAUAAGCACACAGUAACACCUCAACGCAGCCAAGAAGCACAAGAAAAAGAAGUAGCAAUACAAAGAUAUCACAGUUACAACAUUUUGUUAUUAUUUAUUAAAACAUUUUGUUAUGUAACAUUAAUGUCUCUGCUUUUUUAAGAUUUCUCAUUCCAAAUCCUGAAAACCCAAUAAAUGCAUUGGAAUCAAACGUUUAGGAUCGUGAUUUCUUUAAUACCAUGGGAUAUAUUUCAAAUGACAAAGGUAAUAUUUUUUCAAUAUUUAUCGUAAAACUAGAUUUUCAACCUUCCUCAUAAGGAGAAGGAGAGGGUGAAACAUCUUUCUUAACUAGUAUGCACUUAUUCCAUACUUGUGCACCCCUUGAUAAGAUCACCGAUGUAUCAUUAUUCUUAAAUAGAGGAUUUUGAAGAGUUUUCUUGAUUAAUGCAUCAUGGCAAAAUUGACCAAGUCCUAUAAGCUCAAUGCAACAAUUAUCCGUAACAAUUCCGGUCUUGAAUAUACUUGUGAAAACUUCAUUGACACAAUGCAAUGUCAUCUUAGUUUCACAAUUGUUUGCCUUGAUGGGAUCAACAUCAUGAGCCAUGGCCGCUCCACUUGCCAUAAUAGUCAAAAUGCCAAAAACAACAUAAACAUUGAAACUUGCCAUAACGACUUAAAGAGUAAUUGUUGUCUCUCGUUUUGGUUGGCAGAAUACUUUGGUACUGCUGCAAGAAUUAGUUUGCCUAGAAGAUGUUUAUUUAUAGGAUAACCAUGAGGGAGGAGAGAGUAAGAUGCAUUCAAAAAUGUUUUAAUGAGAUUUCAAGUUCAAUAGCAUUAAUUUUUUCAGUUUAUGAAUUAAUUUGUCAAAUCUUAAAUCACAAGAGUUUCUUUAUUCGUGACAUUAAAGCAGCAAAUAUGAAAGCGCGGAUGGUUAGCUUUCCAUGCUAUUAAUACAAAAUUUCUAUUAAAACGAGAGGUUAUCAUUAACAUAAUAAUUAAUUAGUUAUUUAUCUAUAUUUUAUUGGACACAUAUAAUCUUGGAUUACGUAACAAGACAUGGUCUUCUUUCGUGUUAUAAAUCUUAUUCCUUUUUCAAUCUUCGAGCUCAAGAUUAACUUUUAUCAAUAUUUGAGCUUGAGAUUUUCAAUUUUCAAUUAGGUUCUUAACAAAUUGAAAAAUUAUAGAAAAAAUGAUAUUCAUAAAAAAGAAAUGAUAUUCAAGUACAAUUUCAAAAUGAGGCUGAAAGUUGAUUUUAUAUAAAGUGGGUUUCACUUGGCAAAGAGGGGAUUUUGGUAGGUUUUGAAUAAGGUGGUUAUAGUUGGGUCAAAUUCUAUUUAAUUCUGUUUAAGUUUCAACUGAUAUAUGUAGAAUAUCAGUCAAAUUGAAUUAACGAGUUAAGUGAAAAAAUGUGGAAUUCUCAAUACAAUCAUUAAAAGGUGACAAAUUCUAAUUCCUUUGCAAACUAGAAAGGUGGAUGUGAGUUGGACCUGUUCAUUGUACAAGAUGAUGGCAACAAAAUUGUUGAUCGCAGUAAGCAAAAUGCAUAUGCUCUGGUCUGAGGAUGGAGCUUUGGAGUCCUCUUAGAGUGGUUGUGGUACCUUUGUUAUUAUAUAGUUGUUGUUGGACUUUCUUAGGAAUAACAAUGAACACAUUAAAUUAAGAAAGAAAAAAGAAGGAAGAGUUAUAUAUGGAGACUGAGCAAAUAGUCGAAGAAAGGAUAAUCUAAUAAAAUUGGAUUAUAAAUCUCAUCUACAUAUUCAAUAAGAAACGAAUAUAAUUGAAAAUAUUAAGGAACAAAUAUAAUUAAGAGUUUCUACACAUUAGUACCUGAUCAGGUGGAAUACUUAUAAAUGCAAAUAAAGCUGAAAUGUCUUUAAGAUUUUUAUAAGGUCUUCCCUCCUUUUACCCUAUAAAUGAACAUUUUCUUGACAAAUUAGUUAUUGCAGCAGUACAAAAGUAUUCUACAAACCAUUAAAACAAGAGUAGUAUUCCUUGAGUGUAAUGGCAAAUUUCAACGUUUAUUUUGCUUUUUGUGUUUUGGUAAUUAUGAUAAGUGGAGCGGUCAUGGCUCGUGAUGUUGAUCUGAUCAAACCAAACAAUUGUGAAACUAAGAUGACAAUGCAUUGUGUGAUCGAGGUUUUCGCCAACAUAUUCAAGGCCGGAACUGUUUCUGAUAAUUGUUGUCAUAAACUUAUAAGACUCGGUCAACUUUGUCAUAAUGCAUUGGUGAAGAAAACUCUUCAAAAUCCUCUAUUUAGAAAUAAUGAUACAUCAGUGAUCUUAUCAAAGGCGGCUCAAGUAUGGAAUAAGUGUGCUCUAGUUAGUGAGGAUGUUUCACCCACUCCUUCUCCUUGAGAAGGUUAAUAUUUUAUUUUAUCAAUAAAAGUUACAAAGAAAUUAUAUACUUUCAUUGUUGUCCUUUUUUGGAUAAAAGCAAAUCAACUUCAUUAUAAUCUUCAGUUUAUUCAUUUUUUCAUUUAUGCCAUGAUAAUGAAAAGUAAAUUUUUUUUGUGAAUAUAGUUUUGGGUAAAUGAUGAUGCUCAUAAAUACAAAAAGUAUUUCAAAAAUAUGCAUACAUAUCUUAGCACUUUUAUUCAAAUCUUGAUGUAAAAUAAUAUGUGUAGAUGAUCCACUUUAUUUGGGGUCAUUUUGUAAAUUUUGAAAUUAAAUUAAAUUAAGACCUUUUUUUAUAUGUAACCAAAUAUUUUAAUACUACAAAGAAACUUGUUAUUUCCAACAACAUUUUCCGUAGGAAAAAAUGAAAUUUUCGUACAUGUUAUAGUAUUUUUAUUCAAAUCUUGAUACAAAAAUAUUUUAAUAAUGUACCUUCAAUGUUGUUUGUUUUUAGAUAAAGACAAAUCAAUUUUAUUAUAAUCUUUAGUUUGUUCAUUUAUGCCAUGAUAAUGAAAAGUAAAAUUCUUUUGAGAAUACAAUUUUGGGUAGAUGAUGAUGUUCAUAAAUACAAAAAGUAUUUUAGCAAUAUACAUACAUAUCUUAGCACUUUUAUUCAAAUCUUGAUAUAAAAUAAUAUCUGUAGACAACCUACUUUAUUCAUGGUCAUUUUUAUAAAUUUUGAAAUCAAAUUGGAUUUAGACCAUUUUUAUAAGAAACCAAAUAUUUUAAUAUUGCAAAGAAACUGACUAUUUUCAAAUGGAAUUUUUUUAGAAAAAAGUCAAAUUUCCAUACAUAUCAAAGUAUUUUUAUUCAAAUCUUGAUAUAAAAUAAUAUUUGUAGACACCCCAUUUUUGUCCAGAGUCAUUUUUACAAAUUUUGAAUUAAAUUAGAGUAAAACCAUUUUUUAAUAAUUAAUCCAAUUUUAAGACUACUAAAAAAAUUGACUUUUUCCUACGAAAUUCCAAAAAUAAAGUUUAUCAAAAAUUUCAAUAGUGAAAAUGUAGUAAGCAAUGCCAAUGGUCCAAAAAUUAAAAGUUUUGUCAAUAAAACUUUUAAAUUUUCAAUGGAAAUUUUCAUUGAGAAAGGCAAAAAAAAUUAUUAAAAAAGUAGGUUAAUUCAUCGAUAAUUAUGGUAUGAAAUCCAUCGAAAACUUGUUGAAUUUACCUAUGGAAUUUUGUCAGUGAUUAGGCAAUUAACUGCUUAUGAAAUUUCAUUGAUUUUUCCUUCAAUAAAAUUAAUAAAAUCAUCAUAAAUAAUCUAAUUCUUAUUUGCACCUGAGUAUUUGUCUCAUUGGUUGGUGUAUAAUCCCCCUGCCUAAAGAGCAGGGUUCAAAUCCCCCUUCCCCCAAUUAUAAAAAAACGAAAAUCUAAUUCUCAUUUUUACUUAAAAUUCAAAUCCAUAAUUCAUAACAAAAGUUAGUGCUAUGAAAAUGAAAUUUAACUUGAAAGUCAAAUUAAAAUACAUAAAUAUUGUCAUGACCCAAAUUCGGGAGUUCGUGACUAGCACGCAUGAGCUUGGCAGGCAAGCUCGCGAUACUCGAGGAUGCCUUCAUAGUUAAGUCUUGAUAAACAUAUACCAUAAUCAUAAGGCCUCAUGGCCAACAUCAUUGCAUUAAACGUAAGUCUUUUAGCAUUCAACCUUAGCCCCUUGGCUCGUAAUAACAUUGAGGACUUAAACAUAACAUCCACAUGGCCAUACAUUGGCUAAUCAUCAUUUUAAAAUCUGUAAUCAUCUCCUUACAUAACAUAUGGCAACUUCGUGCCAUCAUAUUUCCUUUAUGACGUAUUUUAUAUACAUAGCGGAAGCGUACAUAAACCAUGACUCUAACUACUACGCAGUGGAGAUUCAUUGUUAGCGGAUAACAUACCACUUGUCAAAAUUGUGUGUCUGAUGUUGACAAUGCUAAGUCACCCAAUCCUCGGUGUCUUUAUUUGCACAUGUACAAUUAAAGUGGUGAGUCACACUAGUACGCAGUGCGCGAGAGCAUAAAACAAUUGUAAAUGUGUAGGGAUAGUUGUUACACAUAUCCUCUAAUCAUGCAUGCAUAUCAUAUCUCAUGUAAGUACAUAAUAGGGGCAAGUCAGACAUCACCUGUCAUUCAUGCUCUAACAUAGUCAUAGCAGUCAUGCUACGCAGCAUAUAUCUGUCAUAAUCGUGCCAAGGUGGCAUAAUCAUCCUCACCUUACUCAUUCAAUAUUGCUAACAACAUACCCAUCUAUUAACCUAUUCUACCGUAUGAACCGGCCCACCAUAUGGCCAUCUACAUACGUGGCUAGGUGUACUCAUCUUAUAGCACUCACCUCAAUGCUAAUCCGUAAGCUCCUCAAGCAUGCAGCACAUCAUAAUCAUAUAUCAAAUACAUAUGGCUCUUUCCUCGAGCCGUUGCAUUAGUCAUCACCUCGUAACAUCAUAUAACAUAAUUCACAUUUCAAAACCUAAGGCAUGCCAUUAUGUAGUCAUCACAUCAUAUCACAUCAUAAAGUGGCCCUCCCUUGGACAUCAACAUAUCAUGCACGGUGGCUAGCCGAUGGAGAAACAAAUCACGCCUAAUGCCAAAUCAACUAGUAGAAUAUCAAAGUCAUCGUCCGGAACAAUCUCUCCACAGACGACAUCACAAUUGUCCUCCGGGGCAAUAUCCCAACGGAUAGCAUCACCUAGAGUAUUCGUACACAACAGGCGGGAAUCAUAGGUGGGAUUUUCAGCCGCUGCCCUUAUUUACCACCAUCCCUGAGGCAUGGACAUAAUCACCAUUGCACUGUAGGCGGGAAUCACAAGUAAGACAAAACCACCAUCCCUGUCGACGGAACAUACAUAGUCAUAGGGAUAUGGACACACUCAACCUCAUAAUAUCCAUCAUCUGAAAUUCCUCCACUGAUAGAACAUGCAUAAUAAACAUCAUAACAUCAUUCAGAAACAUCCACGGAUGGAACAUAUUACUCCACAUAACUCAUUAAUCAUCAUGCUUGUCAUCAUAUGUAGUCAAUCACUCAUCAUCAUGCCUCGAUUCUCAUAUUUAGAAAAUACUCAUGAGCAUAUUAAUCACUAAGCCUAAGUAUAUUCUUUCUAGGCACAUCAUGUAAGUCUCACAACAUUCACUAGUCUAGACAUAACUUUUCUAGACAUGUUGACCAUAUAGACAUUCAACAUAGUAUCAUCAUUUCCAUUACAUUAACUUAUAUUCACAUCAACAUCAUUAACCUAGGCAUAGUCCUUUUAGGCGUAUUACAUCGUUCUCACUUAUUUUCUAGUUUAAGAAUUCUACCUCUAGACAUGCUUAUAGUUCAUAUAUAGUAUACAUUAUGCAUUAUUAUUAUUGAAGCAUAUAUGCACCCUAGUCCUUAUGGUCCUAUGCAUAAAAGUUUUCCCACUCACCUUGACAAUGUAGAGGUGCUCCUUAGUUGAGCUUAAAUCCUUAGCCUCCAAUUUUCCUUUACAAACCCAUUAAAUCUUAGCUUUCAAAAAAUGCCAUCUUUUCAAUAAAAUAGCUAAAUCUUUAGCAUAUCAACAAAUAGGCUCAAAUCCUUUAACAAUGAGCUAAACCCAUACCGUAGAAGUUGGGUUGCACAAUUAUUUACCCCAAAUAUCCAGUCAACUCAAAAGGGUAAUUUUUCUUCAAAGCUGGAUCAAAAUUGAAUCUGAGUUAUUAACCGUUUAAAUUGAGAAUCAAUCGACAAUAAUGCUUUAUCUUACCUCUAGAAGCAUUUCCCAAGCUCCAUAUUUACUCCAAACAACUCCAAACACUUUAAAAAUUCAUUCCUGAAAGCUAAGGGUUUAGUUUUAAAGAGAAAAAGUGAAACUCUUCUACCAAGCCUUUUUAGAGUGAAAUUUCUCACUUCUAAUGCUCAAAGUCCUUGAUUUAGCACUAAAGUAUGAAGGUUUUGAGUGAGAUGAAAUUUGAGGGAAAUCGAAUGAGAGAAUGAAGAAAUAGGAGAAAAUGAAGAAUUUUUCGAUUUUUGGGCUUUUAAGCUCGAUUUUUGCUAAUAUGGCACCUCAGGAUCAACCAUGGAAGCUUGGUAUUUGAUCCCAGACUGGAUUGUUUACCCCAAAUCUCAUUUCCUACCCUAAGAUCGACUACAAGGGUUCUGUACUCGAUCUUGGGCUAGUGCUAAUUAUUUACCCCUAAACUUUACUAUGUAAAUUCGAUCCUCUAUGUAUUGGGAUCAACUUUUGAGGUCCAAAUGAUAAAAAUUGAUUCUUUUGAAGUCUAAACUCAUUCUAAAUCUUCCCCACAACCUCCAAUCAUUCAUAUUUCACUUGAAUAAACACACAAGUCCAUCAUGCACACCAAUUCUCUCAUUCAUGCUCUAUGUCACAUAGUAUAUCAAUUAACAUAGUAUAAUUUACAUAUGUAUCAUAUUCAGCUCAGCGCCCAACAUAUGCACUAUAUCAUUCAUGUGCCAACCAUAUGCAUAACAUCAUUUGAGCUUUUACUCACUAUACCUUUCACGACCAUCUCUUUUGGACAUAGGCAUUCCUUAAAUUCAUAAACAUACACAUCAAGGUCACAUCAACCCAUAAGGUAUUCUAGCAUUGUACAUGGUUAACAUUAACAAAAAUCGAGGGUGUUACAAAUAUCGAUUCAAGUAUUUGGCCCCUGAACUCUAGGUGUUUUUUGUCACUUGUAUAGAGGCUUUGUGCUUCAAUUUGAGGUCGCUGCCAAUAGCUUUUGUGUGGCUGAGAAAUGUUGUAAUUGUACAAGUUCUUUUUAUUCAAAGCUUGUGAUGUUUUUGUCACCAGAAGUCUUUGGCCAUUUAGGCUAGAGACUUGUGAUGAUAUGCCGGCUGAUGGUUUUAAUGAAAAAUUGCCCUUAAAAAGUAUGAUGCAAGGACACCAAAUGUUACAUUGGUGUUAGAAUGCCCUUUUCAGCAAUAACACCGAAGAAACACACUAAUCAAAACUGUACACAACACAAACCUCUUUAGGGCAUAAUCACCCCUAUCAAAACAACCAAUAUAUAUGAAACAUUUUUGAAACAACCAAAAAGCAUGAAAGCCACUGUAAACACAUAGUAACACCUCAAUGCAACCAAGGAUGACAAGAAAAAGAAGUAGUAAUAUAAAGGCAAUACAGUUUUAACAUUUUGCCAUUAUUUAUUAAAAUAUUUUCUUAUGUAACAUUAAUGUCUCCGCUCUUUUAAGAUUUCUCAUUCCAAAUUAUGAAAACCCAACAAAUGUAUGGAAAUCAAAAGUUUAGGAUCAUGAUUUCUUGAAUACCUUGGGAUACACUAUAAAUGACAAAGAUAAUAUUUUUUUAAUAUUUAUCGAUCAACUUAAUUUUUAACCUUCCUAAUAAGGAGAAGAAGAACGCAAAACAUCUUUGUUAACUAAAGUGCACUUAUUCUAUACUUGUUCACCCCUUGAUAAGAUCACUGAUGUAUCAUUACUUUUAAAUAAAAAAUCUUGAAGAGUUUUCUUAAUUAAUGCAUCAUGACAAAAUUGACCAAGUUAUAUCAAUUCAAUGCAACAAUUAUCCAUAACAAUUCUGGUCUUGAAUAUUCUUGCAAAAAUUUAAUCGACACAAUGCAAUGUCAUCUUAGUUUCACAGUUAUUUGCCUUGAUGGGAUCAACAUCACGAGCCAUGGCCACUGCCCUUGCCAUAAUAACCAAAAUUCUGAAAACAAGAUUAACAUAUUGAAACUUACCAUUAAAACUGAAGGAUUAAUUGAUGUCUCUCGUUUUGGUUGGCAAAAUACUUUGGUACUGCUGCAAAGAAUUAGUUUAUAGAAAAUGUUUAUUUUAUAAGAUAACCAGAAGGAAUGAGUGAUUAAGAUGCAUUCAAAAACAUUUUAAUGAGAUUUUAAGUUCAAUAGCAUUAAGUUUGUCGGUUUAUAAAUUAACUUGAUAAAUUUUUAACCAGAAAAAUUUUUUUUAUUAGUAUAGCAUUUAGUAAUUUUUCAGUUGUCAGAAUGUUUUAAAGAAAAGUUACAUUAGUCUUUUAAAAAAAAGAUUUCUGGCCACCAUAUUAAGUUCAAUAGUUUGUGACAUUAAUGCAGCAAAUAUGAAUAAAAAACACAAGAGAUAGUCAUCUCUCGGCUUAAUAAAUCCUAUUCCUUUUUCAACAUUCAAGCUCUAGAUUUUCAAGUUGAAAUUUUCCGUUCUUAACAAAGUGAAAAAAUUAUAAAAAAAUGAUAUUGAUAAAAAAAAUAAUAUUCAAGUACAAUUUCACAACAAUUCUUUAUUCGUUAGAUUAAAGCACAUUGCAAGCAAUCAAGCACCAAUUACAUAUUAUUAUUUAAACUUACAUCAUCUUGCAAAACUUAAAAUGUCAAUUUCUCGCAUUGUCUCAAAGCUUUGUCUUCACAUUUCCUAAUUUACAUUUUGUCUUAGAAUUGAAAGCCAGCUACAAUAAUAAGACAGUGAUAAGUAUUGAGAAAGAGAGAGAGAGAUAAGGUGAACUUCAAAAAGGCUCUCUUCUUCCAAGAACACAGUGUCUCAAUAUUCCAAAGCAACUUUCAGGAGAAUGGGGUUUUCCAAUUAUAAAUCUUUCUCUCAUGUUGCUAAGCUUCUUGUAGCUGGCUUGAUAUGCCUAAUUCAGAAGUAACAACUUCAUUGAUUGCAAUGUGGUAAGCUUGGCACUAUAGUUUUCAAAUAUGUAUCGACUAUACUAUGUUACAUGGACUAUCAUGACUCUGUUUCUUCUUAUUCCAAGGAAUUUCUAUUCUUUGUUGAUUAAUGGAAUUUUUUCUAAUGUUUAAAAAAAAUAUAUAUAUAUAUACUCUUACAUGGACUCGAGAUAGGGUAUCAGAUAAAGAUACGUCAUGUUUUUGACAAGUCUUUACAUUAAUUUUGUAGAUACAAGUGUCAAUACCCGUAUGAAUAAUAAAGUAUUCAAAAAAUAUAAGAUACAAAUAAGUUGGAGAAAAUUGAAGAGUCCGUGUUACAUAUUUCUUUAAAUUUAAUCAUUUAGCAUUUGGUCAGAAUAUUUGGGCUGGUUUCUUUAGUAACAGCUCUUCUAUUCAUUGAACAUCUCUUUAUGUUCUGUGACAAGUUCUGCUGUGUUUGGAACCUUUGGUGUGAUAGUUGGAAUAUUCCGUGAGUAGUAUUUUUGUUCUGCUGUCUUGUGAUGAUCUCUCUGUUUUUGUUCUGCAGGGGUGAUUUCUCGAUGGUUGUCCUUUUGAUCGCAUUACAACCUGAGUUGUUUGUGAGCUUGUAUAGUCUCUGCCUUGAUCUGCUUAAUUUGCAGCUCUUGCCUUACAUGGCAACUUUUGUAAAGCAUGUUUUUUAAUGCAAUCUCUACUAUAUUUAAACAAAAAAAAAAAAAACCAGCUCUUCUAUUAUAGAGAAAUUUGGGUCAAUGACACCCCUGCUUUUGGUCUCAACAACAAUUGAUUCUUUUCAGGGAGUCUUAUCAGGUUUGAAGUACCACCAACCAACAUUUUUGUCUAAAAUGUUUUUUCAGAUUGAAGUUAAUGAUUCUAAUUUAUAUUUUGGUGUUGCAGGGUGGCCAGAGGAAGUGAUUGGCGGUUCUUGGCAGUGUGACUAACUUGGGGACUUUCCAUUUCAUUGGAAUGACAAUUGCAGGCCUUCUUAGAUUUAAGUUUGAGCUUUAUAUUAAGGUGAAGAAUAUAUAUAAUUCUUUUUUCAAGUAGUUAACUAAAUUCCAUAAUUCUGUUCUUAAUUAAUCUUCCUUAUGAUACCCUUUUAUGCUUUAUUGUUCUUCAGGGUUUAUGGAUAGGCUUAAGAUGCUUUAUUGUUCAUUACGUUGUACAGAAAAUGGACUAAAGUCGAGCUUUAAGCAGAUAAUGGUAAGGAAACAGGGAACUGGAUAUGCAUUUUGUUGGAUCAUUGAGAAUCUUAAUAAAAAUUAAAUGGGCCAAAUUUUGACAAAGUUGAACUAGUUAUUGAUUUGGCAUCCUAUUAGAGUGGCUGUGGAGGGCUUUGACCCUGUUGAUUUGUCUGGCAGAGGCCGGCCUCUUGUUUAGUUUGACCACUUAAUGCCACUCUUGAUUUCAAGCUCACGCGACGAAGCUUAACAUAAACAUUCUGACCAAAAUUCUGCUUUUCGUUGUCAUGGCAUAAAUUAAUAAAUUGAAAGAUAAUAAUGAAAUUGAUUUGUAUUUAUUCAAUAAAAAUAAUAUUUAAAAUAUUAUUUUUUUAGAAUUUUUAUUAAUAAACUAAAUUAUUAACUUUUUCAAAGAUAAAGAAUGAGCAAAACUUCUUCGUCAAUUAGAGUACAUUUAUUCCAUAUUUGAAUAGUCUUUAAUAAGAUCAAUGAUGUAUCAUUAUAUUUAAAUAGAAGAUUUUAAAGAGUUUAAUUCAUCAAUGCAUAAUGAUAAAGUUGACCAAGUCUUAUAAGUUUAUGACAACAAUUAUCAGAAACGGUUCCAAUCUUGAAUAUACUGGUGAAAACCUCAAUAACAUAAUGUAUUGCCAUCUUAGUUUCACAAUUGUUUUCUUUAAUCGGAUCAACAUCACGAGCCAUGACCACUCUACUAGUUAUAAUUACUAAAACACUGAAGCAAUACAAACACUGAAACUUGUCAUUACACUCGAGGAAUACAAAUUUCUCUUUUGUUUUGAUCAUUGGCAGAAUACUUUUGUACUGCUGUAAGAACUAAUUUGUCAAAAAAAUGUUCAUUUAUAGGAUAAAGGCAGAGAAGACGUUAUAAAAAUCUUAAAGAAAUUUCAACUUCAUAGCAUUUAUAGGUAUUCCACCUAAACAUUUAAUUAUAUUCACUUCUUAGAAACAACAAUGAACACAUUAAAUUAAGAAAGAAAAAAAAAGAAGAGUUAUAUAUGGAGAAUGAGUAAAUACUCAAAGAAAGGACAACCUAAUAAAAAAUAUUCAGUUCUAUAUUUUUUAAUUGAAAUAUCUUACUCGAACCAUUGAAUGCCAUUUGGACAAAAUUUUGGGACAAUUCGUUACUAAAUUAAGGCAUAAAGAAGAAUUCAAAAUAUACAAAGUUAAUCGCUUGGAAGAGAAAGGAUAUUGACUUGGCAUCUGUGGUGAAAGUUGGCCAUCAAUUCAAUCAAAGAGUUUGAUUAUGGACACUGAAACCCAUCCAUGGAGGGUGAGGGUUCCUUUUCAUUAUUAGUUCAUACCAUUACUAUUAUUUUUAUUUUCAUUAUUAGUUUUUUGGGAGCUCCUUUUAUGCUAAUUAAUCAAGAAACAUAUGCCGUUAAAAUUUUAUACCAACUAAUAAAUUACGAUACUUAAUGUUCUUGAAGCUGAAACAAAAUUGAACAGCUCUAAUAAAUGGAACUCAACUCCUUUGUGACUAUCCUAUAAAUUUAGCAAUUUGCUUGCUAUUGAAUUCAAGCAACACUACAGAAGUACUCUGCCAGUUGGAACAAGAGGAAUCAUUACCCUCAAAGCUGCAACAUCGGCAAGCUUGAUGUUUAUGUUGCUUCAGGCGUUUUGGUCAUCGUGGUGAGUGGAGCAGUUAUGGCUAGAGAAAUUGAUCCCAUCAAGGCAUACAAUAGUGAAUCGAAGAUGACUUUAUAUUGUGUUAUUGAGGUUUUCGCCAGCAUAUUCAAGAUCAGACUGGAACUGUCAAGUAAGACUGUUGUGACGAACUUGUCAUACUUGGUUCAAUAUGUCAGGCAUUGGUACAGAAAACUCUUCAAAAUCUUAUUUUCAAAAGCAAUGAUAAAUAGGUGAUAUUAUCCAGAAGCACACAAAUAUGGAAUAAAUGCAUUUUAAUUAGCAAUAUUUCACCCAAUCCUUCUCCGCGAGAGAAGGUUGAUACCAUUUCUUCUAAUAAAUGUACACUUGAGAAGCACAAUACUAUCAUAUAUUUUCCAAUUUGCUGCUUUCAUAUUUUGCGCAACAAUAAUGUAGUACAAUGAACCACAACUUCAUGAGAAACUAAAUUAUUGUCGUUCUUGUUAUAUAUCAAACUAUGAUCUUAAACUCAAUAGAAGCCUACCUUAGCAUUCAAUUCAUUUGUGAAAAUUUCUUUCAAUUAAAAAGCAAUUUUUUUAUCGAAUUAAUCAAUUGAAAGGAAAAUGUUUUUUCCUUCACUUUUUCUAGCUAUUGAAAUUAUCCAUAUCAAAUGGAGGACAAUGCAUUCGUAGAAGAAAGAUGAAGAAAGAUUAAAGAAGCGGAAGCUCCAUUAUGAAGUCCUGAUGCUUUCAACAAUAUCUUUCCAGUCUAUACCACAUCACAAACAUUGAAAACAGCAAGGGGCAUGCAGGGAAAUACACAACAAACACAUUAGCAAAUAAAUCCAAAUUCUGUUUCUUCCCCAUUCAAUUAAUUUUUAGAAUCAAUCAAACUCUAUAUAUAGAAGAGAUUUCUGAUGGUCAUCUGAAACUAAACACCUCUACCUAAUAUCUCCCUAAACCAAGGCAACUUUCAGGCGAAUGGGGUUUUCCAUAAGCAAGCAAGCCAAUUAUAUGUCUUUCUCUCAUAUUGCUAAGCUUACUUUCUAUCAGCAAUUUGGUAGCAGCAAGAUUGGUCCAAGCUCAUUACAGCAUAGGGUUUUAACGAUCAGAAUUUGGCAGACCAUUCAUCAAUGCACAAGGUGUCUUGUUCUUCUUCUAAUCCUACUAAUUUCAUUGAUAGAAUGGUUAUCGACAUCCUACUUGGGGAGGUGACGAGAAUGUUGAUG
rnacentral:lncRNA from 1 species